rnacentral:lncRNA from 1 species
UGUUGGUUUUCUUUCAGUGUAUACAAAAUCAGAAUGACUUCAUUAAGCAUUACUGUUGAUUGGAAUUGUCAGUGCUUUUUUACUACAACUAAUUGAAAACGUCCCAAGUGGAAAACACAUUUCUAGUCCAGUUUAUUGGUUCUUUGGUGCCAGCAGGAUUAAUACCGUCACCGUUCUUGAUGAAGCUCUCAGAUACCUCAAGUCACUUAAGAUGGAAGCGCAGAGAGGCGGACCAAUCCUUCCGGAAAAUUACAUUCUAUAUAAAGGUCAAAUUUGUAAAAUUCCUUGUGGUCCCGUGUUUCUAGUCCUAGUAACCUCAUAAUUAUAUAUAUUUACUAGAACCAUUUGUUUGCAACAAAUUUGAAAGUGAUAGAAAAUAAAUUGCAAUAAAAAAAAAAAGAAGAAACAUAACUUUAUUGAUAAAGAUUGCGGGUACAAUUAUAUUUCUCCCUUGAUUCUACUCUCCUAAGAUUUAUCCAUGAUUCCAGACCGUUAGUGACGUAUUUCUCGAACUAGAUGAUUUAGGUUAGACCUCUAUAUGAAUAUUCCAUCGAUUUGCAGAAUAUUCGAGAUUUCGAUCUCUUUAUGGAAUUUUUGAGAUGCCUUUUCAAGGGAUUAUAGUACCCUUUAUAUAGAUAUAAACUAGAGUUUAGGAUUGAGUAGCCUCUAAGAAUUCGAAUCGAAACUGAGCACACCUUCUAGAGUCCCAGUUCGACAAACCUUGAAGCAGAGGGCAUUUGUGUAGACAUUGAAAUUUUAUGAGAUCUACCAGACGUGUUCAAUUAUGUCAAGGAAAAUGAGAUUGUGUCAAGGUAUUAAUUAUUCUGAAAAAAUUGUUAUGUAUACAUUAUGUAUCUUGUAAAAUAAAUAGUGUGUAUAAUUAUAUGAUUAAGUUUAGUUAACUAACGAAUUCAAUUAGCUCUAUUUAUAUACAUAAUCUUUCAUUAAAAGAAUAUUUAUGAAUUUAUUAUAAUUUUAUAUUUACAUUAUUGAUUAUGUAUACAUGAAACUAUUUUGAAUUCAUUUAUUUAAAAGUCUUAUACAUUUAUGUAUACUGUAACUACAGUAUGUAUACAUUAGUUUGUAUUUAUUUUUGUAUUCAUCAGUCCAUAUUUACCUAACAAAUGUGUAUAUAUUUGUUUAAAUCAAGAUUGGCAUACACUGAUCAAAGUGUAUUUACAUGAGUAGAAUUUGAAGUUGUUGGUGGAGAUUAAAAAAAUCGAGAUCAUCAUACCAAUUUUUUUACAAAAAAUUUAUGUGAACCUUUCUUACUCAUAAAAUUUAUACCAAAAAAUCAAAAUCUAGAAUCAAAACUAUUGCCCAGAAAAGUUGAAAAACUUCAAUUCCUAAAAUCACGAUUUUUUCUAAUGAUUUGAGCAAGAAAACACUCCAGAGUAUAUAUGAAAGAGAAAUUUAUGAGAGAAUAAUGGAUAAAUAUACAAUUAUAUCUUGCAUAAUUAAUUAGAGCAAAUUAAGGAGCAGAAAAGAAAAUCAAGGAGAGAAAAAUAAAAAGAAAAUAUGGAGAUAUUUAAAAAGAAAAAAAAAAGAGACAAGAACGGGAAGAAAACGGUUUCAAAUAAUUAACAAGGAGAGAAAAAAAAUUGGAACAAUAAAAUAAUAGAAUAGGAAAUGAGUGAGAGAAAAAUCAGAUUUUUUUAAAGCUUUUCAAAAUAUGUGGCUUUUGGAUGUCAAAUAUAUUUUUUAUUUUUUUUUACCAAUAAACUAAAAGUAGGUCAUUUAUUCUCAAUUUAGUCUAUGAGUUGUCAUGUUGCGUCAUUUUUUCCUCCUUAAAAAAUUGUAGCUAGAGAUGUACUUUACUAAAUUAACCUUAUUAAUGAUGUUACAACACUUUGACUAUUACUCACUUAAUGUAACUAUUUAAUAUUAAAGAUACUAUGAGAAAUAAGUAAUAAAACUUCAUUAAUUUGCUAAAAUGGACAAAGACUAGAGGACUACAAGAGGUAUUCCAUGUUGUGAUCAAUUUUUUUUAGCGAUUUUCCGUCUUUUGAUCUUUGUUUCACUCAAGGACGAGUCGAUAAAGUAGAAUCGACGGAUAGAAUGGCAGAAGAAAGCAUAUCUAAGCAUCUACAUGACUCUAUUGCAUGCAAAACAUUCCUCAAUUACAGAAUAUAAACAUCAUCAAGAGUAAGGACACAAACAAUGAAAAGAAAAAGGAAUCGACAUGCACUUCGUCUACCAGUGAUGAAGUCGAAAAGGCUGAUGAAGAUCAAAUGGUUGACGAACAACUUCAUGAAGAUAAAAUUGCUUUAUGUGCAUUUGUAUUCGCUUGUUCCGUUUCAAAUUUAAAUAAUUUGGGAAUAUAAUAUGUAUUCCCUUUUAUAAAAAAAUUACUUAUGCUUGGAUACAACUCAUAACUAAACUAUAGUGUAUCUAUCAUUUUUCAUUGGUUUUUAUACAUAAAUUUUGUAUUCAUUCUAACUGUAUGCCAUCAAGUUUUGUAAUUUUAUCAUCAUUUUAUUUUUAUACUAUGAAUUGGAUACAACUUUUGUAGUUCAUUAUAUCAUUUUGUUGGAAUUCUGUGGAAUACAACAUAUUUAUGUAUUUCUUAUAUUUGUAUGCCCGUUAGUUUUGUAUUUAUGUCAUCAAAUUAUAUUCAUCCUCGGAAGUGGAUACAAAGUUUCUAGUUCAUAAUAGUAUCUUUGCAGCUGAUUGUGUGGAAUAUAUACAACAAAUUUUUUGUUUAGAUACAACUUUUGUAGUACAUAAUAUUAUUUUGUGGGGAUUAUGUGAAAUACUACAUUUUUUUUUUGUUAUAGUACUUAUUUUGUAUUUAUUCUAAUUGUAGGUCUACUAGUUUUGUAUUUUUGUCAUCAAAUUGUAUUCAACCUCGACAGUGAAUACAAAGUUAGUAGUUCAUAAUAGUAUAUUUCUAGCUGAUUAUAUGGAAUACAACAUAAUUUUUGUUUGUGUUUCUUUUUUAUUUGAUUCAUUCAAACGGUAUGCCAUCAAAAGUUUUGUAUUUUUGUCCUCAUGAUGUAUCUCAAUAUCUCUCUAUUUAAAUCUCAGUUUAAAAGUUUUUAAAAUAUUGUUUCCCAUGAUUUUCUCCUUUAUGUUAUUAACUAAUUGUAUUCUUUAAAAUUAAACAAAUGAAAAGUACAUAAUCAGCUCUAUAGCAAAAGAAAAGAUUGACAUUUUUAAUAAAUAUUGAAAAUAUGGCUAAGGGGUCCUAUUAAAUGCUAAAAUAUUGUCAUUUUGAUUUUUUUUCCAAAAGUGAACGUUGAAAAAAAUGAAGAAGCAAUAAUGGACUAAUGACUUUGGGCCGAGGUCUGUUGAGUCCAUGAACCUUUUGGGCUAUUUUUCUGUAAACAGAAAAUGGGCUACUUUCUUUUAUAAACUUCUUAUUUUUUCGUAUAUAAUUGAAACUUGCCCUUAUUAAUAUCUACUAUGGAGAUGACUCAAAUUUGCUAUUUAAUUACAAUAUUAACUUAUUGUCAAUCUACUGUGAAACAAGAAGUCAACAAAAUCUAGAAAAAAAUUAAAUAUAAGUAGAUUAUAUUUUAAUUGUUUUUUCCACAAAGUCGCCCUCGUUUUAAUUACAUAGUUAUCUCAAUAGGCUUGUUAAUUAAAAACACAGCUAUAUAAAGCGCUCAUCACAACUCAAGUUAGAAAAUAAAAACAUUUUAUCAUUCAGAAUGACACUCUCACAUAGCUCUGCUCCAUUUCUGAUAGUUUCCCUACUUUUGAUCUCCGUCACAUUAACAAGCGUAAAAGCCGAUCUGAUAAACGAUAUCUGCUCAAAAACACAAGAAAAUGAUGUAUGCUUAUCCGUUUUAAGGGAGGAUCCUCGAUCCAAGGAUUCAAAUCUUAAAGAUCUUAUGACAAUUGCAAUAGACUUGUCACAAAAUAACACACAAUACGUGCGUAAUCUUGUUGCAAUGUUAUUUAAUAAGGAGACAAAUUCAACAUUAAAGACGCGAUAUUCUUUGUGUUGGGAAAAUUAUAAUGACGCUAUUGCUAAUCUUGGAUAUUUGCCAGACUUAUUAAAGUCCAAAGAUUAUGAAGGUUUGAAUAUGCAUGCUUCCGCUGCUCUAAGUGAACCUUCCAAGUGUGAUGAUAAUUUUUCAGAACUACCUGUUGAACCGGCCCAGCUUAAAGUUGCUAAUGAAAACCUUCGAGAACUUAUUGAUAUUAUUUUGGUCAUUAACAAGCUACUGAAAGGUUGAUGUAUAAGAAUUUAGAGAUUUAUACAAGACAUUGUAAUCAACCUGAAAUAUAAAAGUUUUUAAAUCAUAAAGUUAUGUUUUUCGUUUUAAAUUUAGUUCAAGCACUUAUACUUGUUUAAUAACGCCCCUUAGACAUUAUGUCUAGUGAUAUUAGUUCACAGAUAAAAAUGAUUGGUAUUUCUUGUUCAGAGAAAAUCAUAUGUAUUUCCAUAUGCUUUUAGAGGUUGGGCUCAGUGUAAAUGAGUUGGUUUAUAUAAAAGAACUAGUUGACAAAGCAAUUGACAUGAAUAUAGGAGUAACAAUUAACAUCAAUUAACACAAAAUAACUUUAAAAUAUUUGGCAAAAUAUAGCCUAAACAUAAUUGGCACUAAGUAGUCAGAAUGAUGCCUAAUUUUAUGGGUUGAUUUUUUUUAACCAACUGACGCUACUUAGUUAAUUUAAUUAGCACAUUGUCCCUAAUUCAAUAUAUUUUUUGUUUUCAUUUUUUAAAAUGUUUUUUUCUUAACUAAUCUAAUUAGUUUAUGUUUUUCUUUUUUGUUUUACACUUAUUUCAAUGUAUUUUUUGUUUUCAUUUUCUUAAAUGUUUUUUUUUCGUUCUUAACUAAUCUAAUUAGUUUAUGUUUUUUAUUUUUUAUGUAGUGAAUUUUAUUUAAUUUUUUAUGAUCAUUGUGUAAGUUUUUAUUUUACUAUAUUUUUUUUUCUUUCUAUUCUAUGUUAUUUAUUCAUAUUGCAAUAAAUAGUUGUUUGUAUUUAAUUUUUCAUUUAUAAAAUCAAGAUAUACUAAAUUUCUUUAAUUCUAACAGUUAUAUUUUUAUCAAAAGUAUAAAUAAAAUUUGUAAAGUAGCAAAAAGUUUUUUAAGGAAUAAAUUAAUAAAAUUAUCAUUUUUAUUUAUAAUUUCCUAAGAAACGUGUAAGGAAAGUAGAUAAAUAAAUUAUUUAUUAAUUUUCACCUAGCUUGAAUUUCAGAAAUAAAAAAUAUCGUAUAAAUUGACGGAAAAAAUAUGUAUUUACGUAGGUGUUAUGGAUAUUUUUCAUACUUUCCAUGAAUAAAUUAUUAAAGUAUGGAAGUGCAAAAUUUGAAACAAUGAUUGAAAAAGAAAUCAAAUAAAAAAAAUAAAAAGUAAGAAUGAGGGUGGAAACGUCAUAAAGGAAGAGAAAAAGGAGUUUGGGCCAUUUUUUGAAAUGAGACUCAAUUAUCCACUUGUUAAAAAAUAAAUAGAAUCUCAUACAAGUUUUACUACAUCAUAUUUAUACCUCAUUCAUAAUAAAAAAUUUCAGAUAUACAAGUGAACAAUGCAAAUACUAAAGUAAAAUCCUAAUAUAUAAGUAGUAAAGUAAAGUAUUAGUAAAAUAAAGUAAAGUAAUAUGUAUCUAUAAACGGGCGCCGAAAAGAAAUUAAAUAUAUUUAUAUUUGUUGAAAAUAUCGACUUUGAACAAAAAUGAACCUACCAUGCUACUUCCUCUGUCCCUAAUUAUUUGUUCAUUUUUCCUUUUAUAGUUAUCUCUAAUUACUUGUCUAUUUUGACAAAUCUAGAAAGAACAACUUUUUUACCUAUUAUAUCCUCAAUUAAUUACUAUGAAAAAGGUAGAACUUUAUGAAAACCUUAAAUUUUUAAUUCAUCCACUUCAUAAUUAAUAGGGGGUAAAAUGAUAAACUCACUAUGUCAAUAAUUGUUUUCUUAAUAGGUGUGUCAAUUUAAAAGUGGACAAAUAAUUAGGGACAGAGGGAGUACUUAAUAACUUAAUUUGGACACUUUAAAAAAAAAGAGAAAAAAAUUAUCAAAUUUUAAUAAAAAAAUUAUUUAUGUUACACGUGGCUAUUUAUGAAUGGUUUGCUACUCUUUGUAAAUUAUCCAAAUAAAGGAUUUGGCUGAUGAAUGAGUUUUUCAAAUUUAGCUGAUAUAAUUAGUGACUUGACUCAUUAUUUAUUGGUUAUGUCUUAGAAGUGGUAUGCCAAAACUGACUACGUUUUUCGUUAACAAAAAAUUGACAUGAGUGGGUACUUUGUGCCGUGAUAGUGAUAUAGAUGAGUCUUUUUCAAACAUCAACGACACAUUUAAGAUUUAAAAAUAUAUAUAUUUAUAAUUUUUCCCUUCUAUAAAAAUAAUUCAUUGAUUCCCAAGUUCCAUUUUAACAUUAUACUGCUUCAAGUCUCCCAAUCAAACAUACAUAUCGUCUAUAAAAUACUAGGUGCGAUACACUUCAUUAUACGAAGAGACGAACUAUGAUUUUAAAUGAGUGCAUCUAUCCAGUACAAGUUUAUAUUAUGCAGACUCAAACAUAGAAUUUUCAGGCCUUUAAAAGUACAAAUAAUGUCAACAAAAGUAUCUAUUUAGAAGAAGCACAACUAUCUUCAUAUAUAUGUCAUAUGUGCAUAUACAUCUUAGAUUAGUUUCAGCAGAUUCGCUUAAGUAUGUUAACAUAGUAAACUUUUGAUCUUCAUUCCAAAAAUAGAUCUUGUAGAACACAUUUUAUCCUCUAGACUAGUAUCUAAUUUUUAUUUUUAUCAUCGUAAAAAGAGCUUGAUUUAUCAUCCAUUACGGCAUAUAAAAUGAAAAAUUUAUAAGAUAAACAAGCUAUGACAUAUGUAUUCAUGUAAUAGUCCUUGAAACUUCCCUCAUAUGUGGAAGGAGGGUAAACAGUAAACUUUGGUUUGACUCCAUUUGAUUCGCGACUUGUUUUGUUUUAGUGAAGAAGAUUGUAUCCUUUAAAAAUAUCUUGCAAACUGUAUUUCAUAAGACAUUAUUAACAAAUCACUGCAACGUGCAAAAUACUUAGUGUUAUUCCACCUGUACAUGUAGAAAUGAGAAGAUGGAGGAUCACGAUGACGUACUGAUUUCUUGUAGUCAUGAGUACAAGAAAAAUGACUUUUAGUGAAAGAAAAUCCAGUUGUUAAAAGUCCAAAUCUAAAAGCUCCGUCGUUGUUAACGAUCGGAUUGUAUAUCCAGUCGUUAAUGACAACAAUUAAUCCAGUCGUCACACUUACUUACAACGUGCAAGCCAAAUGAGGGAUUCCCGUAAAGCUCAAGUUCAAGAUCUAGUGUAUCAAUUCUUAAUAGCAUGUCAUUUAUCUUGUCCAAACAUAUACUAUAAAUUAAGCAAGAACAGACCUAGUAGUGAAAAUUUUUGACGACUUGGUAAAAGUAGGGAAUUCUCUAUGUUCAAUAGAUAUUGUUGAAAGCUUAACAUAAACAACACCAAUGAUAAAAUCACUAUGUUCAAUUGAUUGAAAGCUCAUUGCAUCUACAAAACAACCACUUCAAUUGAACGAACGUCCUAUAUAUAUAUAUAUAUAUCCUUUCUUCUCUGGAACAUCUGUCUGCACAAGAAUGAAACAAUUUACAAACAAAAGAAUACAACCCUCAACAAGGUUUUGGAGUACAUAUUUUUAACAGAAAAAAAAAUAAAAAAUCCUCAACUACCAAAGCCAACACAUAUUACAGAAGAAAUUGCUCAAAAAAUCAAUUAUGCCAAAAUAUUCCAAGACCCUGUAAAUCCAAGCCCUAGCAAGAGUCGAUUUGGGAAUCCAGAAGUUACCGCAAGAGUCGCAACUCAUAAUGGGGUUCCUGCGGUUAUUUUCAAGUCUAGUGACUAUUACGGGAUAAUGGGGAAAUUUAUGAGAACACGCCCUCAAAUAGAGAAGAUUCAAUCAAAGCUUGCAGAGAAAAUCACUGUCGUCAGAGGUAACGUAUAUGAUUUUCCCACUGUGUUUUUAGACUUAAAAAACGUGUGGUAUAAGAGGUCCAUUGAAAUCAAAGGUCAAAUGAUGUGGUUAGACUCCUGUUUGGGUGUUAUUGUCGGGACUACCAUACUUGGAACCAUGUUAAACAAAUCGUUGGACCAGUUGGGACGCCUCUAACUAUGGACCUUGCAACUGAUCACAAAACAAGACCUAGUAUGGCAAAGGUGAGGGUGGAGGUCGAUCUCACGAAGCCUAAAUUAACCUCUGUUUUUGUGGGAUCGGAAGAUGAUUCUUGUCCAUUGAAAGGAUACUAUAUGGCAGAUCUGGGCAAUAAUAUGGAAAAAACCAAUAUCAAUGAGGAAAAAUAUAAUACUAUCAAAGGCAACAAUGAAGCAACCGCUAGCUCUGAUAAAGUGCGCAACAGCGAAGACGAUCAACAAGAGAGUAAGAAUAUUGAACAGCACGGUUGGUAUUACAAGGAAUGAUCUUGUGAUUGAGGGAAAAAAAAGGUAGGAAUAAGAUGAUUGAAGAAAUGGAAAAGGAAGGUUCCCUCCUCAAGAAAAUAUUGGAUAAAAUCAAGAGAAAGAUGCCAAAGAAAAGAUCCAAUGUGAAACUUAGACUUGGACCCGGAAAAGUUAUAGUGCAGGAGAUAUUAUUAUUAGACAUGAGGGCAAUGAGAUGGAUCAACAACAGAGAAGUAAUAAGCAGCUUGAUGCAGAGAACUAUGGUAUUUCAAAUCAGAACAAUAUGUAUGUAUGAAGAGGGCACAGGAGACAAUAUAGAAAGGAGUGUCAACGAUCAUGAAGAAUCUUCUAGACUUCCAACGAAUAUUAAAAAUUUGUCUACUAUAAAAUUAGUGGUAGAUCUCAAUGACAACAUGAUUGAUAUGUAUAACUCUUGGGAGAAGGUGGAUAACACGGAUGAAAACAAUACUGAGAUCAAUAAAGAUGAUUUUCAGAAGAAGGUGAUGCACAACAACACAUUAAUGAGGUGUGUGACAAACAUAACAUGAUCUGUCACCUGUCAAAAGGGGCAGGAGUAGACACAAAAGAGACAACAAGAAAGCAACUGUAAAUGUUUCCAAUGAUUAGUCCAAUUAUUUGGAACAUUAGAGGAGUAAGAUCGAGAAAGGUCAUUCACAGACUCAAGAGAAUGGUUAACAAAUACAAACUUGACAUGAUUGUUAUUUCAGAGUCGAUGUUUAGUAGAGAUAAAGUGAUGGGGUACAAUAGAUUUUUGGGCUUCAAUUACUGAGUUCUAAGACCAAUGGUCAAAUAUGGUGUUUUUGGAGAGAUAAUUGCACUACUAUAAUCAUUCAGAAUCAUGUACAGUAACUCACUCUUACUAUUCAAAGAGACCACAACAAUCAGCAGCAUUAUGUAACUGCAGUUUAUGCAAAAUGUACCACAAUUGAGAGAAUUGAAUUAUGGAAGAGUUUGAAGGAUCUUAAUGUCGUUGAUCCCAAAAGAUUCAACAGAAGGAUCAACAUUUUAAAAAAAUAACAGAUCAUCCUCCUCCAAAGAAUAGUCAGAAUCAUUAAAAUCCUCAUCGUCAAAUUCAUCACUGUGUACCUCUAUGUCAUUUGCUAACAAAAAAUUCUUUUUCAUCUCAUUGCGACAUUGAUUAUCAUCAUGAUAAAAAUUCAAAUGUUCAAAAUAUAUCUCAACUACUCUGUCCUUUGGAAUGCAAGUAACAACUUUAGCGGCUUCCAUAUUACUCCCAACUAAUCGAACCUUAUAAGAGGUUAAACCAUACUUGUGCCAAAAUACCACAGAUUCCUUGUCAUAACCGCAUUGCUCGGCCAUAUUCUUAAAAUCUAUUAGAUUAAUCAUUGUACCGUCGACAUAAUCAAAAUAUUUGACUUUUCCACCUAUGUAGCCUCUUGUCGAACUACGCACAAAUGAUUCACCAUGAUGUACUUUCAUUGUGAAAAACGAUGACUCAUUCAUAGAAUCUACAUAUAAUAUCAAGUUAUAGACGGUGUAAAAACUUUUAUUUUUACAAAUAUAAUAUAAAUCUGAAUAUACAUAAAGCCAACAAAGAACUACAAGUUCAUUAUAAUGAAUAUCCAGAAAACAAAACCUUAUAUAUCAAAUAAAAAACCUAAUAUAGCUUUUCAAAAUCAGUAAUACUUACUUAUAAAUCAAUAUGAAAGGCAUUGUAAAUUAUUAAAAAAAUGCUUAAAAUGUCUUGAAUAUCGAUAAUAUCAUAAUUGGGUGUGGACGAUCGACCACUUAAACUUCGAAUCGACAUUAUUCCGAAUUUUGUUAUGCUGCAAGCCUGCAACCCGCAAUAUCUAGCGUUUUUAAGAAUGAAGAAGAUGUUUUAGUUUGAGAAAUAGAAAAUUGCAAAUAUUUUUCGAAUCAGAAAAACAAGAAAUUUUCAAUGAUUUUUUCUUCUUUUACCUUGUUUGUGUAUAGCCCUUUGCCCUGUCUUCAACUCUUGUUGAAGAGAAAAAAAUUUCUUUGAUCUUGAAUAGAAAAAAUUAAUAAUGUAAUUUAGUCAAAUAUUAAAUAAAAAAAUUAACAGAUGUUAUCCGUAGAAGAAAAUUAAUUAACAGAAUAGAAAUGGUUCCAUUUUCUCUCUCAAACGAUUCUAUUGGUGGUACGGUAACUGAGGUUCUCACUGAUGAUGACCUACUUGGUGGAUAGUUGUUGCUUCUGUUGAUGUACGAACAGACAUUGAGGACGACGAACAGAAGGAGUGUGAUCCAUAAAACAGAGACAUUGAAAUGACCUCUUCGGAGAACAAGCUCUUGAUGAAACCAUGGAUAGCAACACCUCAAGUUGGAACAACUCCCAACAGUCAUAUGUCGGCAUGCACUCCGUGUAGGUUUCAAGAUCAUUCUCUCAAGACUUGUGAAUCCAAAACUGGAGUUAACAUCUUAAAAGGUCACUAAACUAUGAGAAAUUAUCUUGUAAAGUCACUAAACUUUAUUUUGUAUCACUAAAAUCACUCAACUUUACACUUUUAUCUUCUAAAAUCAUUAAACCAUAUUUGUCACCAAAAUAAAUCUGACAUGGCAAAAUAAAUUAUUUUUUAUGCCAUGUCAUCGUGGACCCCACAAAUAAAUAAAAUUAUAAAAUUAAUUUAUUUUAAUGUCAUGUAAUCAUGGACCCAACAAAUAAACAAAAUUAUAAAAUUUAUUCAUUUUAUGUCUUCCCCUCUUAAAUUCUGUUUUUGCAAUAAAAUUCAUAACGCUUUUUUUUGGACUAUUUCAAUCAAAAUUUCUUUCUUAUCAACAACCUUUUAAAAAAUCUAAUCAACAUUGGAAAUAAAUGUUAAAUUCAAUUGCACAUACUAUAUUGCCUCCCGUGUCCACCAUGUGACAUAAUCAUACUUGUACAUCAAUUCCAAUAUAAAUAAGCAAAACACAAGUAACAUUGCAUUUCUAAAAAUAUAUUACAUACUAGGCUGUUAUGAGCACCAUUGUUAGCAGAAAAAAAAAAAGAACGACAACAAUAUAUAUGUCGUAAUAGGUGUCUCACAUAACCACAAAAAAUUACUAAGAUAAUAUCUAUACUUUGCUAUGAUUUCCAAUCUUCUUCUUCUUCUUCUGAACUUCAACAAUGUACUCCUUCAUGACUUUUCUCUUAAAGAGUCUGCCUCUCUUAGAAGUAUGAGAUAGUCUAGUAGUUUCGAUACCUUUAAUUGCAACUUCAUCAACACCUUGAGCAACCACUACAUCAGUUUGAACAACUAUUACCUGUUCUUCAAUUGGUGCCUUGUGAAAAAAAAAAGUAAAUAAAGAUAAUGGUAGAGAAAACAUUCAAAUUGUAUUAACUUUAAAACAACCAUUACCUGAGUUCUAGUCGACUGAUAUGCCAAAUUCAAUCCUUGGUGAUUAUUAUUCCACAUCUCCGGGCGAUACAUAUUUAAAUAAUCCCCGUCAUUUGAAGCUUCUUCAACUGGACUUAUAGCCUCCAAAUAAUGGCUUGAAGAUGAUUCUCCAGCUUUGACAAAUUUAUAAUGUCCUCUUGCAUUAUGUCCAUACUUUUUGCAAAUUGAACACAUUACCUGCGUAGAACCUUUUUUGGAUAACUUUUGAGGUCGCCUUUUUUCAGACUUCUGCUCAGCUCUUUUUUCAGCUUUUCUAACAGCUUCAGCCUUCUUUUUCUUCUCUAAUUCUCCAGGCUCUUUUUUCCUUGAUUUGGGCUUUCUUCCUCGCUUUUUCUUCACAAUUUUAGGUGGUAUUACCUCUCCACAAUCCACAACCUCAGGCCAGUGAUCUUCUGGAUUUGUUGGAUUGAUGUAAUGUGAAUAUACAUUCUUGAAAGUUUCAAUUGUGUAGAAUGUAUCCACAUAAUCCUCCACUCUUUCACUAUUUCCAAUAAUACAUGCAUAUGCAUGAGGACAUGGUAAUCCAGUAAGUUCCCAUCUUCUACAUGUACAACUCUUUGCCUUCAUGUCAACAAUAUUAACUCCACCAGGACCAUCUACCGAGACUCUUGGUCCCCCUGAAUAAUCAGUUUUAAACCAAAUUGCUUCCUUGCUAAUCUUGUUCAAUUUUUUCACAAUUUUUGGGCAAAUUGAACUAUCAGACUUUGCAACCCACUCUCUUUUCUUGUACAAUCUUUUCAUCAACUUGUUUUUUUUAUCAUUUCUAGCAUUGUAAUAAUAGCUUUAUCUCUAGCAUCAAGUAUAUACCUAAAAUAAGUGCUACAUUAGUAAUACAGAUUGUAAACUAAUAACUACAACAACUACAUACUUGGUGUAAUCUCACAAGUAAGGUCUAAGGGAUAAAGUGUGCAUAGACCUUACUCCAACUUAACAUACAUCAGUCAAUAAAGGUGAUCAACAUAAUCACAAAUAACAUACAACAAUACCAUCCUAACAAGAAACUUAUCAGUCGAUAUUUCCAACCUCAGCCUGACAAUGUAACUUAUGCAAUUACCUAAAGGCAUAAAUAACAGUGAUGACCAAAAAUAAGUGGAUGAAAGUAUUUAAUUAAUUACCUGUUAAAGCUUUCACACAAGUUGUUGAGUAACAUAUCACAUUUUGUAUUUAUUCUAAAUAAUGCUCUAGUCCAACUUUGAAAUGGCCUUUCUGGGUUAUUGAACCACUCUCUUGCCGCUUUGUCCUCUUGAUCAAGUUCUUCCAUGCAUUUCUGAAAGAUUAGCUUGUUGCUUGCCCUAGCAGCAUUCCAUACCAAAUCCUUCAAAGCUUUGCCUUUAUGUUUUUGCUUGAAGUUCUGAUACAUGUGUCUAACACAAUUUCUAUGUUCAGCUUCCGGAAACAAAUCUUUUACAGCUCCAAUCAGACCCUACAUAAGAAACAAAGUAGCAACAUAUGUAUGUUAAACAGAAAAAAGAACAAAAGAUAUAAAAGAUUUUUACUCACUUUUUGCCUGUCAGACAUAAAGGCAAUGUGGUGACUAUUUCUGAUGUCUAAAUCAUAUCCAAGAUUGUCAAUAAACCAGCUCCAUGUUUCUUUACUCUCUGUUUCAGCUAUCACAGCAUAAGCAACUGGAAAUAUACAAUCAUUUGGAUCUAUUGCCACGGCAGAUAAUAAAUUUCCUCCGUAUGUGCCUUUUAGCCAACAACCAUCUAGGCUAAUUAAUGGCCUACAACCCGAUUUAAAAGCUUCCUUGAGUGCUACCAGACACACAUAAAAUCCCAAGAAUUUCCCCCCAUCUCUCCAAAUUACAACAUUAGAUCCAGGAUUAGAUCUCAACAAUUCAGCUCUAUACGAUAGUAACUUGCCAUACUGAAGACCUUCAUCACCAUAAAUCCAUUUUAAUGCUUGAUUUUUAGCCCUCCAAGCCUUCAAAUUUUCUAUAGUAUAACCAAAGUCCUUCCUUACAAUUUCAACAAUACCACUAAUGUUCCAACCAGGAUCAACUUUAAAAAUAUUCAAAUACUUUCUAGCAAUGUACUUAGGAGAUAAGUGGAAAUUAUCAAACACCUUAGCACCUUUAUGUUUCAGAUAAAGUGACUUGAUCUGAACGGUUGGAUCGCGCUUAUUCACUUUACUAGCAUAAAUUCUAAAGGGGCAACCAUCAACCUUACAAAUACAAACCACCCUCUGUUGAUCAUUGGGCUUAAAACGUAACUGCCUUCUUUUCUAAUACCCAAUUCCCUACAAGCUUCUUUGAAUUGCUUGAAAUUCUUAAACUUCAUCCCUAAUGCAAAUCUAGGCAAAUUCUUAUUUUUACCUUCAUCAUAUUCUUCAUAGAUAUUAUUUUUCUGGCCAUUGUUUUCUCCUUUAUCAGAUUGAACAUCAUCAUCAUCAGGCAAUUCAUCUGAAUAUGCAUAAUCAAAUUCAAUAUCAACAUUUUGUAGAGGUACUAAAAUUCCAGAGCUAACUGGCACAUUGACACUUGCAUUUUUGGGUCUUCCUCUAAGCUUCUUGACUUGUUGAUCGUCAAUAAGAACUUGUUGAUCGUCAAUAAGAACUUGUUGAUCGUCAACAAGAACUUGUUGAUCGUCAACAAGAACUUGUUGAUCGUCAACAAGAACUUGUUGAUCGUCAACAAGAACUUGUUGAUCGUCAACAAUCAACAAGAACUUGUUCUUGUUGAUCGUCAACAAGAACUUGUUGAUCGUCAACAAGAACUUGUUGAUCGUCAACAAGAACUUGUUGAUCGUCAACAAGAACUUGUUGAUCAUCAGUAAGAACUUGUUGAUUAUCAAUAACAUCCUGAAAAUCGUCAUCUUCAUCGGACAAAUUAUAGUCUGGAUCACUAAACUCCUCAUCCACUUCAUUAGUUACAUCACCCUUAAUACCUUGUAAAACAACUUUAGUUGAAUUUCCCUCAAUUAAAACGUUUUUGUCCACACCAUUAUCCUCCCUAUUAUCAACUAAUGUAUCUUCAAUGCCGAUAUCGCUAACAACUUCCAAAUAGUUUGAAAAAUGUAGUUCUAAAGCCUUUGAAGUUUCAGGAAAACAUGAACCAGAACUCUGAAAUAAAAAAAAUAGAAAGAAUACUUAGCAUUAAAUAUUUGCUUUAUACUAAUAAUAGUAUAAUCAUAAAAAAUAAACAAGUUACUCUUACAAAUAAAUAUUAAUCCAUAAGAAUAAUUUAUAGCCUGAAUGAAAGAAAACCCCAUAUAGGCUAAUGCCUGAAUUUUUAAUUUUUAUAAUGGAGAAUAAGGUUACAAAUACAUUAGAUAAUCACAUCCUCUUACAUGAAAUCAACAAUGAACUAACCUCCUCUAAAUACAGGGGAAAAAAAAUUAGAAUACAAAAAGCCCUAAACCCAUUUUGAGAUUCUACAAUAAAAGGACAAUAUAGUUAAAAAAUUAUAUUUUUUACCUCGUUUUGAAGUAGGAUUCGUUUACCAAGCACGUAGUGGUCCCUUUCGUCGGCAUUGGAGGCUUGUGGGUGCGGGGGGGACCAUUCUUUUAUAGAUUUCAUCACAUUAUUCCUCGAAGAAAUGAAGGAAUCCAUUGUUUAUGGAAAAAUUUCAGCAUCAAUAACCUUAAAAUAGACUUUAAAGUGCCUCUUUGUGGAUGAGAAUUUUGGGAGAAAUAGAGAAAGAAGUAGAAGAAGGAAGCGGGAGAUUUGGGCAGAAAUAGGUUUUACUGUUUUAGAAGAAGAUAACUUAUGGGUGGGUAUGUAUAUUGAUAAAUUAAUUUUAUAAUUUUAUUUAUUUGUGGGGUCCACAAUGACAUGUCAUAAAAAACAAUUUAUUUUGCCAUGUCAAAUUUAUUUUGGUGACUAAUAUAGUUUAAUGAUUUUAGAAGAUAAAAGUGUAAAGUUGAGUGAUUUUAGUGAUACAAAAUAAAGUUCAGUGACUUUACAAGAUAAUUUCUCAUAGUUCAGUGACCUUUUAAGAUAUUAACUCUCCAAAACUGGGCAAGAUAGCCAAACCACAAAAAAAGACACAAUAUAAUAAAAAAUGUAAUAAAACGAUUUCAAAUCUCCAAAACCACAGCUAAUCUGUCUAUAUACGAUCUAAAAAUUGUUUAGAUAUAUCUCCCAAAUUCAUAGGAAAAGCAAAAUAUUAGAAAUUCCACAAGAGAUCAAUUCUUUAUGAUUGUAAUACUAGAAAUAAUUAGAUUGAUUACCACUAAGAUACUGAACAAAAUUGAGAAUUGCCCAUGGAAAGAUAAAUCAAAUACUAACUUGGAUCCAUUAAUCAGAUCUUUCACUUGCGAUGAACAUCGGGUGCGAUACACUAUUACAUUUGUAUUUUUUUGGAGAAAUCUGAUGAAAACAUUGCUUGAGUGUUUUUUUUUAAAAGAAAAAUCUUAUCCUUUAGUAAUUGAUUGAUUUAAAAGAAAUUUGGUCGGUAUAGAUACACUUAUAACGGUGUAAUUAGUAAUCUUUCGUAAAAUGGUGGUCGUUAAAAGUUAAUAUUCUCUUAGUUGAGCUGAUCGGAAAAGUUUCGACAACGUUCUUUCAUUAAAGAAGCGUUGAGGAGAGUACCUGUAUUAUUACAUUGUAUUUGGAAUGUUGUAAAAAUAUUGUUCAAAAAGUGGAAAAUUAAUUAUAAACCUAUCACCACCACCACCUUAGCUUCCACUCAUUCACCAUGCUCCAAAUUUGCAAUUUCCAUAGCCUGCAUGCAAACCCAAAAAGUGAAGGAAAAAGAUUAGUAAUAAAAAUAAAUAGAUUAAUUAAAAAUAAUAAUAAAAAAACAAUACUUGGAUCAGUGAUCGCGAUCAAACCACUACUUUUGAACCAACAUGAUACAUUUUGUGGGUCUGCCUUAUAAUACAGGUUAAUGACAAUAUUAGGCUCAAAACAGGAUCCGUCGGGGUUUAUUAGAGAACAGUCAGGCAUCCCCUUGUCAUUACAGACAAACUGGAUAUUUUCGUUCAGUUGUUCCUCUGAAGUAGAAGGUUUUGGAACACACCACUGCAACAUACAAAAUACGUAGCGUUAGUUUAUAAAAAAGUUAACACUAAUAAUAAAAUAAAAUAGGAAAUCUCUACCAUGUCUGAGUUGACCUCGAUUUGUGGCGAGAAUGUUAAGUUUGAUAAUUCUGGAUCAAUGCAGGAUCCAUGGAUGAGAGCAACAUUGAGAGGAAUGAAAAGAAUUGUCUAUUGAUUAUUCACAAAAUGUAAUACAGGGAUAUAUAUACAAUCUUAUUGUAACCGACUUGCAUAGCUACUACCUAACUGAUUGCUAUAGUGUAUAACUAACUUCUCUAACAAACUAUUCUGCUCACACUGCUAACAUUGCAAUGUAUAAUGUAACAGCUUGUAACUAACUUCACUAAUGUACACUGAUGCAUUUAUUUAAUUCGUUUACACCCUCCUUCAAGCUAAGAGCUAUGAAGAUAUUCUUCAUACCUAGCUUGGACAUAAGAUGCACAUGUGAAAUUCUCCCAAGUGCUUUAGUGAGGAUAUCAGCUGGCUGUUCUGAAGAUGAUAGAUAUGUAGUGACAAGUAGUCCGGCUUGAAUUUUCUCCCUAAUGAAAUGACAAUUAUGUCAAUAUGUUUCGUACGUUCAUGGAAAACAGGAUUAGCCGCGAUCUGAAGUGUUGAAGUACUAUCUGAAUACAAAGAGACAGGCAGUGAAAUAUUAACACCAAUAUCUUGAAACAAACCUACUAGCCAAACUAUCUCAGUAACAGUUGAGGCCAUUGCCCUGUACUCUGCCUCAUUUGAUAUAGGUGAAUCUCCAUGUUGAACCAAGUAACCAGUAAUAGAUCUUCUACUAUUAAUACAAGAACCCCAAUCUACAUCACAAAAUACCUUCAACACAUUAUUUCCUGAUGAUGACAUUAAAAUUCCCAAGCCUGGAGCUGAUUUCACAUACUUCACAAGCCUCAAUGCAGCAUCUAAAUGUGACCUUUUAGGAGAAUGCAUGAACUGGCUCAGACUUUGUACAGCAAAUGAGAUGUCUGGCCUAGUUAUGGUAAGAUACAAUAGUCUUCCAACUAAUCUUUGAUAACUAGCAGAGUCAUCUAACAAUGGAUCAUCAUGCUCAGAUGGUAUAAUAUCAUCAAACUCAGUACUCGUAAGUUUCAGAUUCAAUUCCAUUGGAGUAGAGACUGGUUUAGCUCCUGCUAACCCCAUGUCUGCAAUCAGCUCCAAAGCAUACUUCCUUUGGUGUAUAAGAAUACCUGCCUCAUUCCUGGCAAAUUCCAACCCAAGGAAGUACCUAAGUUCCCCCAGAUCCUUGAUCUUAAAAGCAUGUUGCAAUGCUUCUUUGGUUUCUUGAAUCAUUUGGCAAUCACUUCCAGUUAUCAACAGAUCAUCUACAUAUAUGAGUAUUAUGACUAUCAUGUCAUCCUUCUUCUUGACAAGAAGAGAAUAAUCUCGAGUACUUUGAGUAAAACCUGAGGCAAUCAAGGUGGUGGUGAGUUUAAUGUUCCACUGCCUUGAAGCCUGUUUGAGGCCAUAUAGUGAUUUUAACAACCUGCACACUUGGUUACCUUCAGACUUGCAAUUAAACCCUUCUGGUAGCUGCAUGUAUACUUCUUCAUUCAAAUCACCUUGCAAAAAGGCAUUGUACACAUCCAUUUGAUGGAUUUUCCAAUGGUUAGUGGCUGCUAAAGACACAACAGUCCUAACAGUAGCCAUCUUAAGGACAGGUGAAAAAAUCUCUUGAUAAUCAAACCCUUCCUUCUGAUUGUAUCCUUUUGCUACUAAUCUGGCUUUGAAUCUUUCAACUGUACCAUCUGCAUUGUAUUUGAUUUUAUAGACCCAUUUACACCCUAUGGCCUUCUUGCCUCUUGGUAGAUCUAUAACCUUCCAUGUCUUGUUAUCCUCUAGUGCAUUAAUCUCACACUUCAUGGCUGCUAUCCAUCUAGGAUCUGUGGAAGCCUCUUUGUAAGUAGUAGGUUCAAUAUCAGCUUAAAAUUUAGAGAUAAAACUCUGAUACUUGGGGGUGAGACCAUUAUAAUUCAAAACUGAAUCAAUAGAAUAGAGACAGUUAUUUGAGCCAGCCUUAGUAACAUAAUCCUUGUGCCAUAUGGGAGGUCGAGUGCCUCUAGUAGACCUCCUGAUUGAAGUUGUAGAGUUGAGGGAAUGAUCUGAAGAAUGUGUUGGAUUAGGAACCUGAACAUGCUCAUUGGUAGUUAACUUAUCAGUGUCAGUAGAAGGCAGAACAAUAUUUGGAGCUGUAACCAGUUCAUCAAAUACAAAAUGGUUGUUGGUGGACAAGUGACCCUGUUCAGUGUUAACACUAUCCUUAAAAGGGAAAACUGUUUCCAUAAAAACAACAUCUCUGCUCAUAAAGAAUAUUCUAUUAUCCAAAUCAUACAACUUGUAACCCUUUUGAGUAACACCAUAUCCAACUAAAACAACUCUCACAGCCUUAGGACUGAACUGUCAUGUCUGACUAGAUUUGUGGCAAAACACAAACAGCCUAGGACUCGUAAAUGAGCAAAUGUAGGGGGCUUACCAUAUAAUCUCUCAAAAAGAGAAACAUCAUUUAUAACUGUGGAAGGUAUUCUAUUCAAAAUAUAGACUGCAGACUGAAUACAAAGACCCCAAAACCUGUCUGGGAAGUUGGCUUGGAACUUAAUUGCUCUUACAGUCUCAAGGAUAUGUCUAUGUCGUCUCUCUACCACUCCAUUUUGCUGAGGUGUGUAAGGACAAGACCUCUCAUGUAUGACACCACAAAGCUAGAAAAAAUCAUUGCAGUUGAUGUUAAAGAAUUCAGAACCAUUAUCAGAUCUCACCCUUUUUAUCUUGAUGUUAAACUGUGUCUCUAUUUCAACAAAGAAAUGUUUUAACAAGUUAAUAACAUCAGACUUCAAUCUCAUAAAAAAUGUCCAUGUCCACCUUGAAUAGUCAUCCACAAUAGUAAAAAAAUAUCUCAUUCCAUUAAAAGUUUCUACUCUAUAAGGCCCCCAAACAUCCAUAUGCAACAAUUGGAAAAUACAUGUAGAUUGACUAGUACUUUGUGGAAAUGACAAUCUAGUUUGCCUUGCAAGAGGACAAACUUCACAACUGGGUAAAAUAAGUUUGGUAUUACCAGAACUAUGAAACAUAGGAAUUUUUCUGAUCACACUCAUAGGUACAUGACAGAAUCUUUUGUGCCAAACAUUUGCAUCAAUGUCUUGUGUUACUGCUAAGCAUCUCUGUGGUGGUGACGUAUGUGCCUCCCCUAUCUGUGUGCAUACUGUAUAUAGUCCAUUUUCUUCUCUACCAGUCACCCUCACCUUCCCAGACAAGAGGUCCUGAAAAACACAAUAUUUUGGAAAAAAGUAACACUGCAAUUCAAAUCUUUUGCCACUUGAGAAACUGACAUGAGAUUGAACUGAAAAGCAGGUACACAUAAGACUUGUCUAAGAAUAUCACCUCCACCUAUAUGACAGUCCCCAAUGUGUGAUACUUUAGCAGAAUCACCAGUGGGUAGCUGAACAUGACCUGCACCAUCUAUUAAUUCUUUAUGGUGUAAAUAAGAAGAAUCACCAAGCAUAUGGUGAGAAGCCCCAGUGUCAACAAUCCAGGUCAAUGAAUCAGCCUUAUGGAUAGGUGAGAUACCUGCCAUAUGUGCAGUUCCAGGUUUAUCAGCAAGUGUAGCUUGAUCCAACAUUCUGAGCAACUGCUGAUGUUGUCCUGGAGUAAACAUAGGCAUAACUGAAGAAGAAGGCAUAGACUGAUGAUACUGAUAUUGUUGGGAAGAAGAUGCCAUAUACUGAUGUUGUUGCUGUAAAACCCCUGAAUCAAAGAUUGAAUUACCAGCUACAACAUUGUGUUGUUGCUGCUGUAAAACUCAUGCAUCAUAGAUCGAAUUACCAGCUACAAUAUUGUGUUGUUACUGCUGUAAAAUCCCUAUAUCAUAGAUCGAAUUACCAGCUACAACAUGAUCUCUCCUGCCCUUGUAGUGAGGUGGAUAUCCAAUGAGCUUAUAGUAGUUAGUUUUAAGAUGACCAGUCUUAUGACAAAAAUCACAUUUCAUCAACUUGAGACAGUCAAUUUUCAGAUGUCCUUUCAAAUUACAAAAUUCACAUAAGGCAUGAGGAUUGUAAGGCUUUUUCUGCUGCUUCUGAGUGACUGAUUCGAAUCUAUUUGUGAAUAAUAUUGUUGGUGCUAAAUUCUCAGGUGAUAUUCUGCUCGAAUUAGCAACCAUUCUCUGGCUUUCAUCCUGAUUAAUCAUGACAUAUGCCUGAUUAACAGUAGGCAGUUGAGACAUCAAUAAAAUUUGGCUCCUAGCUUGGCUAUAGUUAUCAUUGAGUCCCAUGAGGAAUUGUAACAUUCUCUGAAACUGUAAGUGCUCAAAGAAAUCCCUAGAUUUAGAACAUGUGCAAGAGAAGGAAGCAUGAUAGAAUCAUAUUCAUCCCAUAGAUCCUUAAGCCUAGAGUAAUAUAUUGAAACAGAAGAGACUCCUUGAACAAGUGUGAAGAUCUCUUUGUGUAGCUGAAAAAUACGUGAACUGUUUACCUUGUGAAACCUUUCUUUCAAAUCCUUCCAAAUUAGAUGCGCAUCUGAGCAAAAAAGCACUCCACUGUGUAGAUCCUUGCUAACAUUGCACAAAAUCCAUGAUACUACAAUUGCGUUACAACGAUCCCAUAAACAAGCCAAAUCACCUGUGAAUUGAUCUCGAUCUACUAUACCAUCAAUGAAUCCCACUUUGUUUUUCCCAAGCAUAGCCAACUGCAUAGCUUUGCUCCACAAAGUGUAAUUAUCAGUUCAUGUAAGCAUAAUACCCACAUUGAGUGAUCCAGGUGCAUCAGAUGGAUACAAAUAGAGAGGAUGAAGAUGAUCAAUUGUGGUAGCAACCAUGACAGUACCCAAUUGAUUUCCAGUACCAGAAUCUCCCAUUGAAAUCACAAAGAAGGGAAGAAAUCGAGAAAUCGAGUGCACAACUGAAGAAAAUGAAGAAAAGAAGCUCGAAUCUGAACUUCAACUACGAAAUUCUUACUGCAUUGACUCUCAAUUGAAGCUCGAAAGCUCUAAUACCAUGUUAAGUUUGAUAAUUCUGGAUCAAUGCAGGAUCCAUGGAUGAGAGCAACAUUGAGAGGAAUUGUAACGACCCUAAAAACGAACUAGUGAAACUAGAGCCUCACAUGUGAAUUUGGAGUUGAGAACUUGAUGAAAUGAUGAGAAAUGACCGUGACGUCCGGAAACUAGUCAUUUGAACUAGUGAGUUGUAAGGGUCAACUUUAAAUGAUCAUAUCUUUUAGCUCAAAAUGAAUUAGGUGGAACUUUACGUAUCCAAUUAAAGGUCUCUGAAUCCUCUUUCCAACGCCACCGAGUUUGCCCAAUUCCGACCUUGGAUUAAAAAUUUAUGCCCGAAAUAUUAAAGCACUGCCAGGCUGCAACAAAGGGCGAACUAAGACGGGAAUGGGCACAAUUUUUAAGGUCAAGACUUUAUGGGUCCUUAGUCCUUUUCCAAAAUUGACCCUAUGCUAUUCUUUCCUUCCUAGCAACUAUAAGACCUUUUUAUGACCCAAUUCCUUUCAUUUAGGUCACUCCUCUUAGAAUUAAAAAGAAACCCACCUCCUCUCAAAUAUAUCUUUCUCUACAAUCCUCCAUUGAAGAAGGUGAAGAACUAGGAGCUAGGGUUUGACGAUUUUAAGGUGGUUCUUUCUCAAAUUUCUUGGGGAUUCUUAGUUAAGGAAUGGAAACUCUUUAUCUUUGAUUCCAUUUCUAAUCAAAGAGCUAAUUCAAAGUAUUUUCAAAGUUCUUCAAAAAUCCUAAAAUCCUAAUUUCGAUUCUAGCAUGGGUUCUUGCAUAAAAAGGUUUUAAAUGAUGAUUUAUAUAGUUAUUAAUGAUUAUUAAUGGUUUUUAGAAAGAAAUCUCCAUGAACCCAUGUUUUCUCAAAUUCUCUAAAUUUCACCAUAAAGUGGGUGUAUUGAUUUUGAAUAGAUGAUUAUAGAAUUGUGUUUAGUAUGGUAUGGGCUGUUCAUAUAUGGUAUCAUAUAUGUGAAUUGUUAAGAAUUUUUAUUGAAUUGAAGGAUGUGGGAUGUUGGCCUUGAAUGGGCAAAAAAAUUGUGAAUUUGUCUUCAUGUUGAUUAUGGGCUUAUGCUUAGCUUAAAUGGUAUAGUUNNNNNNNNNNNNNNNNNNNNNNNNNNNNNNNNNNNNNNNNNNNNNNNNNNNNNNNNNNNNNNNNNNNNNNNNNNNNNNNNNNNNNNNNNNNNNNNNNNNNNNNNNNNNNNNNNNNNNNNNNNNNNNNNNNNNNNNNNNNNNNNNNNNNNNNNNNNNNNNNNNNNNNNNNNNNNNNNNNNNNNNNNNNNNNNNNNNNNNNNNNNNNNNNNNNNNNNNNNNNNNNNNNNNNNNNNNNNNNNNNNNNNNNNNNNNNNNNNNNNNNNNNNNNNNNNNNNNNNNNNNNNNNNNNNNNNNNNNNNNNNNNNNNNNNNNNNNNNNNNNNNNNNNNNNNNNNNNNNNNNNNNNNNNNNNNNNNNNNNNNNNNNNNNNNNNNNNNNNNNNNNNNNNNNNNNNNNNNNNNNNNNNNNNNNNNNNNNNNNNNNNNNNNNNNNNNNNNNNNNNNNNNNNNNNNNNNNNNNNNNNNNNNNNNNNNNNNNNNNNNNNNNNNNNNNNNNNNNNNNNNNNNNNNNNNNNNNNNNNNNNNNNNNNNNNNNNNNNNNNNNNNNNNNNNNNNNNNNNNNNNNNNNNNNNNNNNNNNNNNNNNNNNNNNNNNNNNNNNNNNNNNNNNNNNNNNNNNNNNNNNNNNNNNNNNNNNNNNNNNNNNNNNNNNNNNNNNNNNNNNNNNNNNNNNNNNNNNNNNNNNNNNNNNNNNNNNNNNNNNNNNNNNNNNNNNNNNNNNNNNNNNNNNNNNNNNNNNNNNNNNNNNNNNNNNNNNNNNNNNNNNNNNNNNNNNNNNNNNNNNNNNNNNNNNNNNNNNNNNNNNNNNNNNNNNNNNNNNNNNNNNNNNNNNNNNNNNNNNNNNNNNNNNNNNNNNNNNNNNNNNNNNNNNNNNNNNNNNNNNNNNNNNNNNNNNNNNNNNNNNNNNNNNNNNNNNNNNNNNNNNNNNNNNNNNNNNNNNNNNNNNNNNNNNNNNNNNNNNNNNNNNNNNNNNNNNNNNNNNNNNNNNNNNNNNNNNNNNNNNNNNNNNNNNNNNNNNNNNNNNNNNNNNNNNNNNNNNNNNNNNNNNNNNNNNNNNNNNNNNNNNNNNNNNNNNNNNNNNNNNNNNNNNNNNNNNNNNNNNNNNNNNNNNNNNNNNNNNNNNNNNNNNNNNNNNNNNNNNNNNNNNNNNNNNNNNNNNNNNNNNNNNNNNNNNNNNNNNNNNNNNNNNNNNNNNNNNNNNNNNNNNNNNNNNNNNNNNNNNNNNNNNNNNNNNNNNNNNNNNNNNNNNNNNNNNNNNNNNNNNNNNNNNNNNNNNNNNNNNNNNNNNNNNNNNNNNNNNNNNNNNNNNNNNNNNNNNNNNNNNNNNNNNNNNNNNNNNNNNNNNNNNNNNNNNNNNNNNNNNNNNNNNNNNNNNNNNNNNNNNNNNNNNNNNNNNNNNNNNNNNNNNNNNNNNNNNNNNNNNNNNNNNNNNNNNNNNNNNNNNNNNNNNNNNNNNNNNNNNNNNNNNNNNNNNNNNNNNNNNNNNNNNNNNNNNNNNNNNNNNNNNNNNNNNNNNNNNNNNNNNNNNNNNNNNNNNNNNNNNNNNNNNNNNNNNNNNNNNNNNNNNNNNNNNNNNNNNNNNNNNNNNNNNNNNNNNNNNNNNNNNNNNNNNNNNNNNNNNNNNNNNNNNNNNNNNNNNNNNNNNNNNNNNNNNNNNNNNNACUAAAGUGUAGGGAUUUGGAGAUGAUGACAUGUCAUGGCUAUUUGAUAGGUUUCUAAGUGUUGAAGAUGAAGACUUGGUGAGUCCUCAUAGAUUCGAGGACAAUACCCAAUAUGUUCUUUUAUGUCUUUUUAGUAUUGUUUAAGUUGUGUACGGGAUUAGUCCCGAAAUUUGUACUCUAAAGUAUUAGAUGGUUUUGAGACAUCAUGUAUAAAGUCUAGAAAGUCUUCCGCUUGCUAUUUUUUUUUAUGCAAUGUUUUCUUGGUAAAGAAAGUUUUAAAUUCCUUAUGGUUUUAGUGUCUAUGCGAUGAAUGAAUGCUAAGUGGCUUGUAUUAGACCUCUUCGAGGUCGAGUACGCCGGUUACGACUAGGGGGUGCUCCCGGGUCGUGACAGGAAUGAAAAGAAUUAUGUCUAUUGAUUAUUCACAAAAUGUAAUACAGGGAUAUAUAUACAAUCUUAUUGUAACCGACUUGCAUAGCUACUACCUAACUGAUUGCUAUAGUGUAUAACUAACUUCUCUAACAAACUAUUCUGCUCACACUGCUAACAUUGCAAUGUAUAAUGUAACAGCUUGUAACUAACUUCACUAAUGUACACUGAUGCAUGUAUUCAAUUUCUUUACACCCUCCUUCAAGCUAGGAACUAUGAAGACAUUUUUCAUCCCUAGCUUGGACAUAAGAUGCACAUGUGGAGUUCUCCCAAGUGCUUUGGUGAGGAUAUCAGCUGGCUGUUCUGUAGAUGAUAGAUAGGUGGAGAAAAGUUUUAAAUUCCUUAUGGUUUUAGUGUCUAUGCGAUGAAUGAAUGCUAAGUGGCUUGUAUUAGACCUCUUCGAGGUCGAGUACGCCGGUUACGACUAGGGGGUGCUCCCGGGUCGUGACAGGAAUGAAAAGAAUUAUGUCUAUUGAUUAUUCACAAAAUGUAAUACAGGGAUAUAUAUACAAUCUUAUUGUAACCGACUUGCAUAGCUACUACCUAACUGAUUGCUAUAGUGUAUAACUAACUUUUCUAACAAACUAUUCUGCUCACACUGCUAACAUUGCAAUGUAUAAUGUAACAGCUUGUAACUAACUUCACUAAUGUACACUGAUGCAUUUAUUUAAUUCCUUUACAGAGGAUAGUCCACAUGUACCUCCGGAAACGAGAAGAUGGAGGAUCACAAUAACGUAAUGAUAAUAAGCCAUGUAUUUUUUAUUUAUUUUUUUAAGGAUGGAAGGACAUCUGGGUUGUGGAAAUUUACUACUACCGCAAAGAGGUAUUUAUACUAGAAAAGAAAACAACACCGCCGAAAACUAUGGCUGAAAAAAAGUCGUGAAUUAAAUGCAAUGUUUGUAAGCGAUUGGAAGAUAAACUAAGUAUUAAAUGAGUUUGCCCUAAUUAAAUAUAAUUUCAUUUGCAGGAUUAUCAAAUACUUUUGAGUAUAUAUUCCAUAAAGAUGUUUAUUACUAUAAUAACAACUAACACACUAUCUUUAAACCUAUGUGUUCAUUCGUUCUGUUGAUCUAGAUUGUUUCGUCAAGAUUUAGGGGAAAAUAAGUUAUAUAUAUAUAUUUAUAUUUACAAUAAGAGGCUAGGGAAGCAGUUGUUCGUCAACACGCCUGCUUUCCUAGCCAGGAAUAAUAUAGUCAUUUAUAAAACGUUAUGUAAAAAUAAUAUUUCUUUCGUUUCAAAAAGAAUAAUUUUUUAUUAUUUUUAAUCUGUUUAAGGAACAAAUUUAUACAUUUUACAUAACUUUAAUUUAAAAUCACAAAAUUCAAAAGUGUUCUUUAUUUUCUUAAAUUAUAAAGCCCACCCAUAUUUCCCUUUUUGCUUUAUCUCAGCCGGAAAAUGUGGGCCCUUGUUUCUGCCUAUUUCACAUUCUUUUCAAUUUUCAUUUCACUAUCCAACUGUCUUUUAAUAUAUGGACCCCACUCAACUAUUUCCAUUACCUUCUUUUAUUUGUUCCUCAUAACUUCUCCUUUAAUUUUUUUCGCUCCGUUUCUUUUGUGGCAAUUAACUUUUUGAAAUUUAAUUACUUCAUCUAUAUUUUAGCUAUAAAAUAUAUUAGAGGUGUAACUUUUUUAAAAAUAUUAAACUUUUUUAAAAAUUAAUUAACUCUUAAAAUUUUAUUAUUGUCACAUAUAUUUGAACAAGUGUAAUAAUAUAUAUUAUUAAAAAUUACGUAAAAGAUUGAAAAUAUUUUUAAAUGAUGUAAGAAAUUUGAUUGACUAAUUACUAAUUUACUUUAUUACUAAUAUAUAGAAGAGUCUAGGAAGCAGUCGUUCGUCAACAUGUCUGCUUCUUAGACAGGGGUAAUUUGAUAAUUUAAAGUCUAAUUUUGUUUGUGGUUUGCUUUGAUUGUUGGUACAAUUUGCUUCGUAAGUUGGUACCUCAUGAUUUUUCCUUUAAAUUCCCAUUCUGCCUUUUUGUUGAUAAUGUAAUUUGAUUCCAGUACUUUUUUAAAGGCUCAUUUGCCCACCUUUUUUCAAUAACCCCAAUAAUGCAUAUCGGUAAAUAUAAUGAAAGUUGAGCCCUUUAUUCAAUGCCUAAAAAGGCAUAAUGAUGAUGUUAGGACUUGCCUGGAUCCACAUCCCAUACGAUGUAAUGUUUAGUGAUAUUAUACUUCAUUCGUGUCAAUUUACGUGACAUGAUUCAAAUUGUAACACUCCGACUUUUUGAAACGUCUAAAAUUACUCAUAUCUCCAUGGAAAGACAAGGAGGAUGGGUAAUAAAUUAAGAAUUAUGUGGUAUGUCCUAUUUUAAGUGUUCAAGUGUUGCAUCUCAAGUUUUGAAGUUAGGGAAGUGGCAAAAUAAAAGUUGACGGAAGUUAUCGUAAGUUCCUUCUUAAAGAUUUCUCUGAAAUUUAGGUCAAAUGUAUUGGAGGUUUUCUCCCAAUCUAUAAAGACUUAUGGGGUUCACGACCUAUCGAAUCGAAGGUCUACGAGUCUAGUUUCCAACGCAUCAAAUUGUUCGUUCAUACGACUUCAGAAUAGAGAGAUAUUUGCAUUUUCCUGGGACUGCGCAAGCAGGCAUGUGAAGUGGGGCCCUAGGUUCGUUCAUACGACUUGCACUCAUUCACCAUGCUCAAAAUUUGCAAUUUUCAUAGCCCGCAUGCAAACCCAAAACAUGAAAAGGAAAAAGAUUAGUAAUAAUAACAAAUAGAUUAAUUAAAAAAAAAAAAAGAAAAAAAAAAGAAUUACUUGAAUCAGUGAUCGCGAUGAAACCACUGCUUUUGAACCAACAGGAUACAGUUUGUGGGUUUGCCUUAUAAUACAGGUUCAUAACCAUAAAUGCAUGGUUAAUAACAGUAUUAGGCUCAAAACAGGAUCCGUGGAGUUUUAUUAGAGAGCAGUCAGGCAUCCCCUUGUCAUUACAGACAAACAUAUAGAGGAUUAGAAGGACAAAUGCGUGAUAAGUCAUGGAUGCCUAAAGUGUAAAGUAGAACCCAACUAGUAACAUUCAUUCAUUAUACAGUAAUUGAUAUGAGAGUCGUUUGGUUUUUAGUAAAUACACGUGCUAAUUGACACGAGAUGCAUAUGAGAAACACAAAAUAUACAUGUGAUGCACGUGAGACGCACAAAAUACACGUAUGAUGCACAUGUGACACACGAGAUGCACAUGCAACACAUACAAAUACUUAUUUUACUCAAUAUACUUUAGACAUUUACUUAAGGGUAGACUUUAAGUCACCAAUUUCAUUAAAUCAUUCUAAAAUACCUCUCUUUUUUAUAAUUUAGAGGCUACCCUCUCCUUUUUCGUUAUAGUUUCCGACAAUGUUAUUUUUUUUCCUCCUAUAAAUACCUCCUUAGUAUUAGUAAAUUGUCACAGACGUCCUUUUAUCAGUACAUUCUUAAAAAAUGCAUUUUAAGAAUGUCAUCUUUUUUACUUUGUAGUUAUACUUUCUUCGAAUAAGAAAACAAGAAUCAAUCUGUACGAACUAGAUUAAUUAACUACUCAAGUUGCUCUAUUUUUGCUUACAUGUGUAGUAAAUCUAUACAAAUCAAAUGCACAAUGUAUUCUAGAAACUAUGAUAAGUUAUUGGAGGAGUAAGAAAUUAUAUUUAUCUAUACACUACAAAUAUAUCUAUAAAUUAUUCUCAUUUCUUAAAUGACGUGUAAAAAUUGUAUUACCUUCUUUUUCAGUAUUGACUUGAUACAUUUUUAAAAAAGUAAUAUAUAAAAUGAUAAUUUUAUUAUAUUAUACAUGUUUAUUAUUAGUUGAGAAAUGAAUUGAAAUACGAGAACAGCUAAGUGACCACAAUUAUUUGCCUCAAAUAUGAUCCCAAAUAUAAAAAAAAGAUCAUAAUUAUAACAUUUUCUUUUCAAAGCAAAGUCUUUGCUAGUGUUUGAAUUGACUUAUUUUUAGUAUUUUUUUAAAUGAUCUGAAAAGUGUAAAAAGUCAAAAGCUAAAAGUUGAGCGUUUUCAUUUAAAACGAGUCAAUCCUAUUGAGUUAGUUAAUUAACUAAUUAGUUGAUAUGUUCACAUCAUCAUUAGUCAGUUAGUUUGUUAUACUGUUAGAGCAAGUCAGGGUUAGUUAGAUCUAUAUAAAUAGAAUGUACUCAGUUGUAAUAGUUAGUUCUAUUCAUUCAAUUCAAGAAAAUCAGUUUCUCUGUCAUUUUCUCUCAUACUCCUUCAAUGGAGUUCUGUAGUUCUUCGGCAUAUUAGUUGAACCUCUUAUCCUUGAUCACCUCUUUCACAUGGUAUCAGAGCCUUGUUGCUCUUACUGGAUUCGUCGUCUCUGUUUUCCGAUAGUGUCAAUUUGUCUCUCCGUUGCAGUUGUUUAAAAGUUCAUCAGAUCUUGCAGCUAUGGUGGAAGUUACAGAUCCCAAUACUAGUUCUACAGGAAGCAAUGUUAUCGAUGUAAGUAAUCCUCUUUACAUUCAUCCAUCUGAUGGUCCCAGCCUGCCUCUUGUUCAGGUUGUAUUUGAUGGAAUCGGUUAUAGAUCUUGGAGGAGAAGUGUAAUGAGAUCCCUCUCUGUAAAGAACAAGUUAGGAUUCAUUAAUGGUGAGUGUAAGAAACCUGCACUCAAUUCUCCUCAAUAUCGACAGUGGGAAAGAUGUGAUAAUAUGGUCACAUCUUGGAUUCUUAAGUCUCUUGGAAAAGAAAUUGUUGAUAGUGUAGAGUAUGUUUCUGAUGCUCUCGAAUUGUGGAAGGAGUUGGAAGAAAGAUAUGAUCAAACAAAUGGGGCUAAGUUGUUUCAGAUCCAAAAGGAAAUCAAUGAUUUGAGUCAAGGUGUACUUGACGUGACUGUGUAUUAUACUAGGAUGAAGAAGCUGUGGGAAGAAUUGAACAAUCUGAGUGCUAAAGAUCAAUGUAGUUGUGUGUGUAUCUGUGGGGGAAAAGAGAACAUACAUAAGGCAGAGCAGGAUAGGAGACUCAUUUAAUUCCUUAUGGGAUUGAAUGAGGUGUAUACUGUAAUCAGAGGUAGUAUGUUAAUGAUGAAUCCCUUGCCAUCUAUGGCCCAGGCUUUUGCUUUGUUAGUUCAGGAAGAAAAACAAAGGGAAUUCAAGCCAAGUAACCAAAUGUUUGCAGAGGCAUCAGUGAAUUCAUCUAUGCAUGCUAACUCAUCAGGAUCUUCAAGUGGAAGACAACAGCUGUUCAGGACUAAUUUCUCUCCCACCAAUAACUACACUGGCAAACCAAGAUCGUUCUGCGAUCAUUGUAAGAAACCAGGUCAUACUAAAGAGAGGUGCUACAAACUGCAUGGUUAUCCUCAGGCUAGUACCACUGGGAAUGGACAAGGUAACAAUGGAUAUAACAACCAAGACAGGUACAAUAAUAAUCAAAGGCCACAAUACAAUAAUCAGUUUCACAAAUCUGCUAAGGGAAAAGGGAUAGCAACAAAUGCUUUUGGUAUAGAUACUGAAUCUAACACAGGAAACACAGCUGAAUCCUCCAAUUCUGGUCCCAAUCUUACCAAGGAUCAGUAUGGACAAAUCCUCAAUUUGCUGCAACAUUUCCAGUUGGGAUCUGCAGGAGAUGCUGUUGAAGAUCAGCUUCUAAGUGGUGCUGCAAAUUUUGCAGGUAUGAUUAGCUUGUAACUCAUCUGUUGAUUUUGACAAACUUUCAUGUGGGUGUUUCAAAUCAAAGACUGACUUAUGGAUACUAGACUCAGGGGCCACACAUCACAUGACCUACAAUAAGACCCAUCUUUCUGAUAUCAUUCUCUUACCAUAUCCUUUGUUAGUUAGCUUGCCCAAUGGAUACAAGGUGAAGGUAACUGAAGUUGGAAAUGUAAACCUUACAUCAAAGAUUACAUUGCAUAAAGUCCUUUUCAUUCCAUCUUUCAAAUAUAACUUGAUUUCCAUCAAGUCUUUAACACUUCAUCUUAAAUGUCUUGUUUCUUUCUCUAAUUCCUCUUGUAUACGGCAGGGCCCUUCAAUGAAGAGGCCUCUGGAAAUUGGUAGAGUACAAGAUGGACUUUAUCUGCUUUGCUCAACAUGUCUGAAAAAAGGCUGCUCCAACACUUCUUUGAAAACCUCAAGUCAAUGUGCUAGUUUGCAUAGUACUGCUAAAGGCCAUAAGUGCCCUUUGUCUACUGUUUCUUCUUCUUCAUGUCAUAUUGUUCCAUCUGUAAUGAAUAUUACUCAUAAUGAAAAUAAUUUUGUUCCAAUACCUAGUCUAUCUCAUUCUUCUAGUUUGUCUCGUGAAGUUAAUACCAAUACAGACCUCUUGUGGCACCACAGACUUGGACAUGUUCCUUUUGUAAAAAUGAAGAGUAUACCCUCAAUUCCUGUGAAGUUCUCCCCUAAGCAACCCGUUACCUGUACCAUAUGUCCAAUGGCAAGGCAAAAUAGAUUGCCAUUUCCUACCAGGAAUGAUAAAACUACCAAGAUUUUUGAGCUGCUCCAUGUGUACUUAUGGGGACCAUAUCAUGUGGCAACCCAUGAUAAUUUUAGAUAUUUUAUCACCUUAGUUGACGACUUUAGCAGAUCCACUUGGACUCACUUGUUAAGCUGCAAGAGUAAUGCACUGCACAUUAUCAAAUCAUUUGUUAAUAUGGUUGAGACUCAAUUCAAAACCACCAUAAAAACCAUAAGAACAGAUAAUGGACUAGAAUUUGUAAACCAAGAAUCCACCCUCUUCUUUCAAUCAAAAGGAAUCAUUCAGCAAAAGUCAUGCCCCUACACACCACAACAAAAUGGUGUAGUAGAAAGAAAACACAAAUAUCUCCUAGAAACUGCUAGGGCACUCCUUUUUCAAUCCAAACUACCCAUUAAGUAUUGGGGAGAGUGUAUACUCACAUCAACCUUCAUCAUUAAUAGACUUCCCUCUACUGUUCUUCAGAACAAAUGCCCAUUUUCUUUACUGUAUAACCAAGAGCCUCAAUAUUCUCAAAUGAGAAGUUUUGGGUGCCUAUGCUAUCCUACCAUUCCCAAAUCCCAUAGAACCAAAUUUGAUCCAAGAGCAACCCCACAUGUGUUUGUAGGUUAUCCAUUUGGGACAAAAGGUUAUAGAGUACUAAAUCUGGCUUCUAACAAGAUUUCUGUGUCUAGGGAUGUUACCUUUCAUGAGACAAUCUUCCCUUUCUCUAUGACUCAAUCAUUAGAUGGUCAUGUUCCUGGUUUUGAUUAUCUUACUCCUACAAUUGUUCUUUCUGAUAACAUUCAGUGUAAUCCUGAAUCUGAUAAUGAUAAUAUGCAAUGUGAUCCUGAUCAUAUGGACAUUACAGUUCCAACUGAGUUACCACCACCACUUGUUCCUCCUUCUCCCUCACCAGACCACAUUCCAUCUGUUAGAAAGUCUGCUAGAAUACACAAAACACCAGCCUAUCUAAAUGAUUACCUAUGCAAUAUACCUCAUUCUACAACUACAUUACCACCUCAUUCACUACAUGCAUCAUUUUCUAAUCACCAUCAUAUUGCCUCAAAGCUUCUGUAUCCUGAUAGCCAGUCUCUUGUGUUGAGUAUCUCACAUGAAAGUGAGCCAUCUUCAUAUGAUAUAGCAGCUAUGGAUCCUGCAUGGCAGACAGCUAUGGCACAAGAACUUUCUGCCUUACACGAUAAUGAUACUUGGGUUCUCAUGCCUCUACCCCUUGGAAAGAAAGCUAUUGGGUGUAGAUGGGUAUAUAAGAUCAAACACAGAGCUGAUGGUAGCAUAGAAAGGUACAAAGCUAGGUUGGUUGUUAAGGGUUAUACUCAGCAUUAUGGAGUGGACUACACAGAGACUUUUUCACCUGUUAUUAAGAUGACGACUGUGAGAGCUCUAAUUGCCACUGCUGUAAAGAAACACUGGAAUGUUUAUCAAUUGGAUGUGAAUAAUGCAUUUCUCCAUGGGGAGUUAGAUGAAGAGGUUUACAUGGAUAUUCCACCAGGCUUGGAUAUUCAGACUAAAGGAUUAGUUACGUUUGUAAGCUCAAUAAGUCAUUGUAUGGUCUAAAACAGGCUAGUAGGCAAUGGUAUGCUAAGUUGUCUGAAGCUCUCAGUUCCAGAGGAUACACUCAUUCCUUAAAUGACUAUUCUCUAUUUUAUAGGAAAAAUGGUUCAUCUACUGUCUUCAUAGCUGUGUAUGUGGAUGAUAUCCUAUUGACAGGUACUGAUCUUGAAGAAAUUGAUAGUCUCAAAGGCUUUCUCCAUAAUCAAUUCAGAAUUAAAGAUUUGGGGAAACUGCAUUAUUUCUUGGGGUUGGAAAUCCUUUACACUGAAGCUGGAUUGCUCAUUUCACAAAGGAAAUUUGUGCUUGAUCUUCUCAAAGAGUACCAUUGUUCUGAACUUUCCAGCCUCACCUCACCACUAGAUGUGACAGUCAAGCUCAAGGCAAAUGAGGGGAAGCCUAUUUCUGAUCCUAGUGCAUACAGAAAAUUAGUUGGGAAACUUAAUUUCUUAAUUAAUACCAGACUAGAUAUUGCUUAUGGAGUUCAGCACCUUAGUCAGUUCAUGCAAGACCCCAGAGAACCACAUAUGAAAGCAGCGUACCACAUGUUGAGGUAUCUCAAGAAGGAUCCCACCUUAGGAUUGCUUAUGACAUCUACUGAUGAUUACAAUGUACAGGCUUUUUGUGACUCAGAUUGGGGUGCUUGUCCUGAUUCCAAAAAGUCCAUCACAGGGUAUAUUGUGCUGCUUGGUUCCAGUCCUAUAAGCUGGAAAUCUAAGAAACAGGAAACUAUAUCUCUUUCCUCAGCUGAGGCUGAAUAUAGAUCCCUUCGAAAGGUGGUUGGAGAGUUGGUUUGGUUAGACAGAUUAUUUGGAGAGCUUACUAUUCCUAGAAGCAGACCUUUUCCUAUCUUUUGUGAUAGUCAAUCAGCUCUACAGAUUGCCAGAAAUCCUGUAUUCCACGAAAGGACCAAACACAUUGAGAUCGAUUGUCAUUUUGUGCGAACCAAGCUACAAGAAGGUCUUAUAUCACUGCAUCAUAUUGGAACUCAUGACCAACUGGCUGACAUCCUUACUAAGGCUCUUACAGGAGUCAAACAUUCAGUAGUUUUGGACAAGUUGGUUGUGCUGGUCUCACCUCCAACUUGAGUUAGUUAAUUAACUAAUUAGUUGAUAUGUUCACAUCAUCAUUAGUCAGUUAGUUUGUUAUACUGUUAGAGCAAGUCAGGGUUAGUUAGAUCUAUAUAAAUAGAAUGUACUCAGUUGUAAUAGUUAGUUCUAUUCAUUCAAUUCAAGAAAAUCAGUUUCUCUGUCAUUUUCUCUCAUACUCCUUCAAUGGAGUUCUGUAGUUCUUCGGCAUAUUAGUUGAACCUCUUAUCCUUGAUCACCACUUUCACAAAUCCAAACACCGAUAAUUUGACAAAUAGACUCUAUAGAUUCCACCUAUCAAAGCAUUUUAUGGUCUCAUACCUUCUUCAAUCCUUUAUUCUUGUUCUUUUUUUCUUUUAUUUUUUCCAGUUUAAGAGCACGGUGUCAUGACUGUCAUAUCAUCAUGUCACUUAGGCGUCGCAUGGCAUAAAGUUAUCAAUGUGAAAGCUUGCAUAGACAAAAAAAAAACUAGUUAUUAGUGUAAGCUUCCUCCACAGUUCUAGAUUUAUGAGAUUUAAUUUCAGAUUCUUCAUGUAUAAAUAAUUAAUAUACUAAAGACUUUAUAAUAUGAUUCAAACACUCUAUGUAUCAAAAUAAAAUGAAAUAAUUAUACUUCAUGAAAUUUCUUCAUAAUUAAAUACAUUCAAUUAUAAUUAUUAAACGACAAAUUAAAAUCAUAAACAGAUUAAUUUUUUGAAGUAAUAUGGAUCUAGCUUAGCCAUUGGGGUCGAUGAGCCCAACCAAACCGGCUAUCAAAAAACGACCUUUUUUAACCUAUCUUUUUUUUUUCUUCCUUAUGAAAGAUUAUUCUUUAAUCUAGAUUAUUUUUCUAAAAAAAGACUUCAAUUAAGAUUUCAAUAUUUGAGAAUAUUUCAAUGGGUUCAAAAUAAAACUCCAACAUCAGAACCUUGACAUAUACUUACUCUGUUUUAUAUUAUUUGGCUAUUAUUGAUGCCAAUUAGGCGUGGAAGUUUAUAAAUUGUGAUUUCAAUUAUUUCGAAUGUGGAUACUUAAUAUUCCUACUAAGGGUAGCAAAAAAAAAAGGAAAGAAGGAAAUUGUUUUUAAUUUUUAAAAUUAGACAAGCAAAAUGAAAUAUUUAUUUCCUCUUUAAUUUUUAAAAUUGAACGAGUAAAACGAAACAUUUAUUUUUACAAGACACGGGUUCUAAUUUGCCCAUUUAUAAAACCUGUUCAAUUUGCACAUGUCGGAUUCUAAUUAAUGUACUUGUUUAAGGAUAAUUAAGAUGGAUGUUGUUACCUAAUUAUUACUCAUUCGAAUGUUAGGUCAGCUUAGACUACAGUCAGAAAAAAAGGACAAAUAAAUGAUUUUGAAUGUAUUGUAAAAUUUUAUAAUGUAUUUUGGAAUAAACUAUUUCUUAAUAGAUUAAUUGGAAAAAUUUUACCAUGCAUAGGCACAAGUAUGAUGUGGCAGACAAAAAUUGUAUAAGGCCCAUUUAUAUUUUGCCAAGUGGAUCCAUUUCAGAAAAAUGGCCAAAUUCAUCUUUCUCACUCUACCUUUUAACGUUUUCUUUUUCUCUUUCUUACUUUUUUCCUUUAGUUUCUUUUCUAACAAUUCUUCCAAAUUUUAUAUUUCCACUUAAAUAACUUUAUUCAUGAAAAAUAUGAAAUACAAAAAAUCUUGCCGGAUUCAUUCUAUUUCUAACAUUUUGAUAUUAUUUUUUAUCUCAAUAUUGAUUAUUUAUAUUAUUAAAAAUAGUUAUAUAAAAUUAUUUGUUUAUUUACAAAGAUAUAAUUAAUUUCAAUUUUUCUAUUUUAUUAUAACAAUUAAUUAUUUUUGAAAGUAUAAAUAAAAUUUAUAAAUUUACCAAAAAAAAUUAAGGUAUAAAUUAGUAAAACUAUUAUUCUAUUAUGAUUUCUUAAGAAAUUUGUAAAAGAAAAAGUAGAUUAUUAAUAUGAAAAAUAAAGAAGGUACAAAUUUAAUAAGUUAUUUUAUUUUUCUCUCAACAAUUUCAUAAUCCAAAAGCACUUCAAUCCACAAAAUACUCUUCAAUAAGUAAAUAUAACGGAAAGAACAUCAAUGAUCUUGACAAACAAUUGCAUAAGUUUUGAUACUAUUGUCAUGAAAUUCAAAAACGAAAAACAUCCAUAAACAUCAACACAAAUACAUAUUAUUUUCAUCAAUUUAUACGAUAUUUUUAUUCUUAAAUUCAAUCUAGGUGAAAUUUAAUAAAUAUUGUUUAUCUACUUUUCUUAUACAUUUCUUAAGAAAUUAUAAAUAUAAACAAUAGUUUUAAUAAUUUAUUCCUUAAUAGAAUUUUUGCAAUUUUACAAAAUUUAUUUUAUAAUUUAAAAAAAAUUAAUUGUUAGGAUUAAAAAAAUUACUUAUAUCUUGAUUUUAUAAACUAAAAAAUAAAUUUCAAACAACUAUUUAUUAUAAUAGAAUAAUUAACCUAGAAUAGAAAAAAUAAUAUUAAAAUAGUAAACUAAAAACUUAUAUAAUGAUCGUAAAAUUUAUAUUAAAAUUCAAUACGUAAAAAAAGAAAAGCAUAAACUAAUAAGAUCAGCAAAUAAAAUUCUUAAAAGAUUUGAUCAACUUAAUCUUAAAGAAGAAAAAAAUAUUAAAAAGAUUAAAACACAAUAUAUUGAACAAGGGGCAUAAAACCAAAAAAAUGACAAAAGGGACUUAAAAAUGUCCCCUUUAUUAGCUUGGCAAAUGGGUCGCAUCCAUAUCCAUUUGUCAAUCAAAUAAUGCCUCAUACAAGUAUGACAUGGCGUGCCUCAUAUAUAAUAAAUUUUUUGGAUCAAUUGUAUAGCAAAGAACUAAAACUACCAGGAAAAAAAAAUCAUGAUGUGAAAGGUUGAUUUAGACGUGUUCACAUUGAACUUUAUUUGAUUCAUUUGUUAACCACUGAUUCUAUUUUUAACUUCUCGAUUCAAUCUAUUCAUUUGACGCCCAUAGAAUUUUUAGUAGGCCUAUCAAUUUAAAAUUGCUUGAAGUUGUUCUAUCUUGUUGGCUGUGUUUUGAUGACUUAUAACAUGAGAUAAAAACCCAGCUCUAAUUAGUGUGUCGACUUCAGAACUGAUAAAACUCAAUAUUGAGCAUGAAGAUCCACCAUUAAUGGUGGAUUCUAGCACAUACUGAUUCAGUCAGUUAGAGAGGAUCAAUUGAGAAGAUAGACUUUUCUCAUUUCUGAAUGAUAAAAUCAACUGUAAACUGCAUACAAUGUGUCACAUUUAUACAACUUGAUAGAAUCUAGAAAGUUCCUAAUCAAAGCAUAAACGGAAAUCUAACUAACUAACAAAAUCUGUUAACUAACUAACUCUGUGAAACUUUACUGUUAAUUGACUAACUCUGUGAAGUUAACUGUUAACUAACUAACAUAAUUAAUCUCAACACCCCCCCUCAAGUUGGAAGUGAGGUAAUCACAGCCAACUUGUUCAGCAUAGCAGUAUGUUUGAUUCCAGUUAAGGCUUUUGUGAGAAUGUCGGCCAACUGAUCACAUGUGUUGAUGUGAUAAAGUGAAAUUAAGCCUUCUUGGAGCUUGGAUCUGACAAAAUGGCAAUCCACUUCAAUGUGUUUGGUCCUCUCGUGGAACACGGGUUUCUUGGCAAUAUGGAGAGCAGCCUGGCUAUCACAAUACACAGGGGAAGGACCAAUGGGAGGAACAGUUAACUCAGUAAACAAACGAUGCAGCCAAACUAGUUCGCCAACCACUUUUCUUAGUGACCUGUACUCAGCUUCUGCUGAUGACAAUGAAAUGGUGUCCUGUUUCUUGGAUUUCCAGCUGAUAGGACUGGUGCCCAGUAAAACAAUAUAGCCACUAACAGACCUCCUAGAAUCAGGGCAAGACGCCCAAUCAGAAUCACAGAAAGCCUGUAUACCAAAAUCAGGAGAAGCAGACAUAAAAAUACCCAAAGUAGGGUCUUUCUGAAGAUAUCUUAACAUAUGAAAUGCAGCUUUGAGGUGAGGUUCCCUUGGGUCUUGCAUGUAUUGACUCAAGUGUUGUACCCCAUAGGUGAUAUCAAGUCUAGUAUGAGUAAGAAAAUUUAACUUUCCAACCAAUUUUCUAUACAAAGUGGGAUCAGGCAAAGGUUCUCCUUCAUGAGCUUUGAGUUUAACGGUAGGAUCCAGGGGAGAUGUUACAGGAGUGAGACCAUUAACAUGAAAUUCUUUAAGGAGGUCCUGAACAAAUUUCCUUUGGGAUAUGAGUAUUCCAUCAUUCUUGUACAGAAUUUCUAAUCCUAGAAAAUAGUGCAGCUUACCAAGGUCCUUGAUUUUGAACUGAUCAUUGAGGAAACUUUUGAGACUAGUGAUUUCCUCAGUAUCUGUUCCUGUUAUAAGAAUGUCAUCCACAUAGACCCCCAGGAAAACAGUAGAGUGCCCUUUUUUUCUAAAAAAUAAAGAGUAAUCAUGUAGUGAAUGAGUAUUUUCUUGGCAAUAUGGAGAGCAGCCUGGCUAUCACAAUACACAGGGGAAGGACCAAUGGGAGGAACAGUUAACUCAGUAAACAAACGAUGCAGCCAAACUAGUUCGCCAACCACUUUUCUUAGUGACCUGUACUCAGCUUCUGCUGAUGACAAUGAAAUGGUGUCCUGUUUCUUGGAUUUCCAGCUGAUAGGACUGGUGCCCAGUAAAACAAUAUAGCCACUAACAGACCUCCUAGAAUCAGGGCAAGACGCCCAAUCAGAAUCACAGAAAGCCUGUAUACCAAAAUCAGGAGAAGCAGACAUAAAAAUACCCAAAGUAGGGUCUUUCUGAAGAUAUCUUAACAUAUGAAAUGCAGCUUUGAGGUGAGGUUCCCUUGGGUCUUGCAUGUAUUGACUCAAGUGUUGUACCCCAUAGGUGAUAUCAAGUCUAGUAUGAGUAAGAAAAUUUAACUUUCCAACCAAUUUUCUAUACAAAGUGGGAUCAGGCAAAGGUUCUCCUUCAUGAGCUUUGAGUUUAACGGUAGGAUCCAGGGGAGAUGUUACAGGAGUGAGACCAUUAACAUGAAAUUCUUUAAGGAGGUCCUGAACAAAUUUCCUUUGGGAUAUGAGUAUUCCAUCAUUCUUGUACAGAAUUUCUAAUCCUAGAAAAUAGUGCAGCUUACCAAGGUCCUUGAUUUUGAACUGAUCAUUGAGGAAAUUUUUUAGACUAGUGAUUUCCUCAGUAUUUGUUCCUGUUAUAAGAAUGUCAUCCACAUAGACCCCCAGGAAAACAGUAGAGUGCCCUUUUUUUCUAAACAAUAAAGAGUAAUCAUGUAGUGAAUGAGUAUAACCCCUUGAGUUGAGAGCUGCAGUCAAUUUCUCAUACCAUUGUCGACUUGCUUGUUUCAAUCCAUAGAGUGACUUAUUGAGCUUGCAAACCAAACCUGUAUGUGGCACAUCAAGACCUGGAGGUACAUCCAUAUAGACUUCCUCAUUUAAAUCUCCAUGGAGGAAAGCAUUAUUCACAUCAAGUUGGUAUAUGCUCCACUGUUUCUUAGCAGCAAUGGCAAUCAAAACCCGUACAGUUGUCAUCUUAACGACUGGAGAGAAUGUUUCUGUAUAAUCUAUGCCAUGAUGUUGAGUGUACCCUUUUACCACUAGCCUUGCCUUAUACCUUUCUACACUUCCAUCAGCCUUAUGCUUAACUUUAUAAACCCACCUACAACCAACAGAUUUCUUACCAAUAGGCAGAGGCAUGAGAGACCAAGUGUUAUUAUCAUGCAGAGCAGUAAACUCUUGGGUCAUAGCUGUUUGCCAAGCAGGAUCAAGAGCUGCCUCUUCAUAACUGGAUGGCUCACAAUCAUUAGUGAUAUUUAAAGCAAAAACCUGACUGUCAGGAUCUAGAUCUUCAGGAGAUAUGUGGUGAUAUAGAGAAAAACAGGCAGUUAGGGAAGAAGGAUUUAAUGUGGAUUGUUUUGUGUUAGGUGCAGUGCAAACAUAAUCAGAUAGAUAUGAAGGCAAUUUAUGUGCUCGAUUAGAUUUUCUGGUUUCAACAUUGUGUUGUUGGACCGGUUGUGAAGGUGAAAGUGUGGUAGGUUGAGAAGAUGUGGGAGUGUCAAUGAGAGAAUGGGAAGAUGAACAUGGAGGUUCAGGAGACAUUGGAGGAUUUGUGUUACAUGACAUGCUUUGAUCACACUGGACAGGAGAAUUAGAUGAGGAGUAAGAAGCGGGGUCAACAAAAAAUGGAGAUUGAAUAGGAGAGGAAGGAAAAGAAGUAGGAUCUGCAGAUAAAGCAAAAGGGAAAAUUGUUUCAUGAAAGGUCACAUCUCUAGAGACAUACAACUUCUUAGUGGCCAGACUCAUUACCUUGUAUCCUUUUGUGCCAAAGGGGUAUCCAACAAAAACAUGUGGAGAUGUCCUAGGGUCGAACUUAGAUCUUUGUGAUUUAGGGAUGGUUGGGUAACAUAGGCAUCCAAAACUUCUCAGGUGUGAGUAAAGAGGCUUCUGGUUAUAUAACAACUCAUAAGGGCAUUUAUUUUUAAGGGGUGUUGAAGGCAGUCGAUUGAUGAUGUAUGUAGCAGCUAAUAUACACUCACCCCAAUAUUUUGUUGGUAAUUUGGACUGAAAAAGAAGUGCCCUGGCAGUUUCAAGUAUGUAUUUGUGUUUUCUUUCCACCACACCAUUUUGUUGAGGUGUGUAUGGACAGGAUUUUUGGUGAUGAAUGCCUUUGGAUUGGAAGAAUAGGAUGGACUCAGUAUUGGUGAACUCAAGACCAUUGUCUGAUCUGAUUACCUUUAUGGUGGUUUUGAAUUGGUUCUCAACCAUAUUGGUGAAGGCUUUAAUAACAUGUAGAGCAUUGCUUUUGUGACUGAGUAGGUGUGUCCAAGUUGACCUACUGUAGUCAUCUACAAAGGUAAUAAAGAAUCUAAAUUUAUCGUGUGUGGGUAUUUGGUAUGGUCCCCACAAAUCAACAUGCACUAAUUCAAAUAUAGUAGAGCUUCUGUGAAUACUUGGCUGAAAAGGUAGUUUGGUUUGUCUUGCCAUAGGACAAAUGGGACAAAGGAAAGGUUGUUUGGGAGAGAAGUCCACAGGGAUUGAUGGUAUACCUUUCAUUUUUACAAAAGGAACAUGGCCGAGUCUAUAAUGCCACAAGAGGUCUGUACUGUCAGGCUUUAAUAAACUAGAACCAACACUCACAUCAGCUGAAACAACAUUGUUCUUAUUAUCAGAUAAGGAGUUCAAUACAUUUUGAUGAAGUGAACAAGAAUGGGAAUUACAUUUGCAACACAUUUUAUCAUGUCUAUGAAGGGAAAAACAAGAAACAGGAUCCUUUGUUGAGGUAGGAUGAUUACUCUUUUGGAGACAGUUGGAGCACAAGAGAUACAAGCCAUCAUGCACUUUACCAACUUCCAGAGGCCUCUUCAGUGAAGGGGCCUGCAGAAGACAAGAGGUGUUAGUGAAAAAACAAUACACUUGAGGUGCACUGUUAGAGAGUUGACUGAAAUCAAGUUAUAUUGGAAAGAAGGGAUGAACAAAACAUUGUACAGUGUGAUCUGUGGUGUCAGCUGCACAUUUCCAACUUCUGUGACCUUAACCUUGUAUCCAUUAGGUAGUCUAACUAAUAAGGGAUAUGGUAGUGUAAACACAUUUGUGAGGUGAUGCUUGAUAAAGGUCAUAUGGUGUGAUGCUCCUGAAUCUAUAAUCCACAGGUCAGGUUUUGUUUUAUAACAUUCACAUGAGAGUUUGUCAAAAGUUACAGAAGAGGUACAAGCAGUGAUACCUGCAAAGUUCACCGCUGAAUUAGUCAUAUUGCCAGAGUUCUCUGUUGUAUUGAGUGUUUGAAACUGAUGGAGUAGAUAAGCAAGUUGAUCACAUUGUUCCUUAGAGAUGCCAAUAUUUGAGCUGUCUUGAUUGUUGACUUGAUUUUCAGAUCCAUUCCCCUGUUCCAUAUUGAGACCACAAGAUAAUCCUGCAGAGUUAGCUACCACACCUUUACCUUUGUUGUUGUACCUGUAACCAUUAUUUGCUUGCCCAUAAUUUUGUUGCCUGUGGGAUUGAUUGUAAUCUGGUUGUCCAUAGUUCUGUGGUCUUUGAGAUCUAUUGUUCCCAUUGUAGGAAUUCUGUGGGUAUCCAUGUAGCUUAUAACAUUUUUCUUUGAUGUGACCUGGUCUCUUACAGUGAUCACAGAAAGGUCUGCCUCUGUGAGAAGAAGAAGAAGAGUAAUUGGGUUUGAAAGCCCUACUUCCUGAAGUGCCUGAAGUAUUAGCAGCAAAAAUGCCUCCUGACGAUGUGCCUGAAGUACUAGCAUGAAGAGAACUGGAUUCAGCAAACAAUUGAUUAUUUGGCUUAAACUCUCGUUGUUUCUCUUCCUGAAUCAAUAGGGCGAAAGCUUGUGCCAUUGAUGGAAGAGGAUUCAUCAUUAAUAUGUUUCCUCUGAUUAUUGUGUAAACUUCGUUUAAUCCCAUGAGAAAUUGAAUUAACCUCCUAUCCUGUUCGACUUUGUGCAUAAGAUCCUUUGCUCCACAAGUACAUGCACAUUUGCAGUGACUCUUUAUGCAUAAACUGCUCAAUUCCUCCCAAAGUUUCUUCAUCCUAGUGUAGUAAGUUGUGAUAUCCAAAACGCCUUGAACGAGAUCAUUGAUUUCCUUUUGAAUCUGAUAUAACUUGGCACCAUUAGUCUGAUCAUAACGAUCUUCCAAAUCAUUCCAUAGUUCCAAAGCAUUGUCUACGUAUUCGACACUAUCAGCAAUAUCUCUGCUUACCUAAGUAUACCUCUUCUCCAGGAUCGAUAUCCAAUCCCAUCGAAAGGAACUGGUACAAGAGAAGCACCUGGACUAUCAGAUGGAUGUAGGUACAAAACACUACCUACUUCAAUCGUUUUAGUAACCCCUAGAUCAGUGACUUCCACCAUUGUAACAGAUCAGGAAAAAAAAAUUGAAGAAGCGAACAGUGAAGAAGGCGACGAACAGCAACGAGAGAGAGAAAAAAAAAAAAUUUGAUGCGAUCGGAGGAACCUGAAACAACUGGAGCAGCGAUUCUUCAACAAAGAGAUGAGAAAAUCAGGGAUGAUCGAUUCCUUGCUUUGAUACCAUGAUAAAACUCAAUAUUGAGCAUGAAGAUCCACCAUUAAUGGUGGAUUCUAGCACAUACUGAUUCAGUCAGUUAGAGAGGAUCAAUUGAGAAGAUAGACUUUUCUCAUUUCUGAAUGAUAAAAUCAACUGUAAACUGCAUACAAUGUGUCACAUUUAUACAACUUGAUAGAAUCUAGAAAGUUCCUAAUCAAAGCAUAAACGGAAAUCUAACUAACUAACAAAAUCUGUUAACUAACUAACUCUGUGAAACUUUACUGUUAAUUGACUAACUCUGUGAAGUUAACUGUUAACUAACUAACAUAAUUAAUCUCAACAAGAACAUCUUGUAAUUUUAAAUAAAUUAAUUUAAAAAAUUCUCACUUGAGAACUAUUUAUUUGCACUAAGGGUGUGCAUUCGAUUUUUCGGUUUGGUUUUACACUAUUCGAUUUGGAUUUUCGGUUUUGUAAAAGUGUAACCCAAUCCGAUCAAAAAUAAAUUUGGUUUGGUUUGGUUUUCCUCUAUUCGGUUUGGUUAUUCGGUUAUGUCAAUAAUUAAUAACAUAUAUAACCUAUAACCAAAGUAAUAAUAUUUAAUCCCUUAAAUAUUCUUUCUAAUAUAAAUCAUAAGUAAAACUUAAAACACAAUACUUAUAAGUAUACCUAUUAUAGAUGUUCAAGCAUAAAAUAUAAAUGUAAUCAUCGUGAAAGGCAAUAACCAAAAAGGGACAAAAGUGGUUAACUCCAACUUAAUUCUAAAACUAAACAUUAUAUAUAUAUAUAAUUCGGUUUUUUGGUUUUUAUUUUUUAAAAUCCGAAACCAAACCAAAAAACCAAACAAAGUAAUUUAUUAAUCCAAAACCAAUCCAAAANNNNNNNNNNNNNNNNNNNNNNNNNNNNNNNNNNNNNNNNNNNNNNNNNNNNNNNNNNNNNNNNNNNNNNNNNNNNNNNNNNNNNNNNNNNNNNNNNNNNNNNNNNNNNNNNNNNNNNNNNNNNNNNNNNNNNNNNNNNNNNNNNNNNNNNNNNNNNNNNNNNNNNNNNNNNNNNNNNNNNNNNNNNNNNNNNNNNNNNNNNNNNNNNNNNNNNNNNNNNNNNNNNNNNNNNNNNNNNNNNNNNNNNNNNNNNNNNNNNNNNNNNNNNNNNNNNNNNNNNNNNNNNNNNNNNNNNNNNNNNNNNNNNNNNNNNNNNNNNNNNNNNNNNNNNNNNNNNNNNNNNNNNNNNNNNNNNNNNNNNNNNNNNNNNNNNNNNNNNNNNNNNNNNNNNNNNNNNNNNNNNNNNNNNNNNNNNNNNNNNNNNNNNNNNNNNNNNNNNNNNNNNNNNNNNNNNNNNNNNNNNNNNNNNNNNNNNNNNNNNNNNNNNNNNNNNNNNNNNNNNNNNNNNNNNNNNNNNNNNNNNNNNNNNNNNNNNNNNNNNNNNNNNNNNNNNNNNNNNNNNNNNNNNNNNNNNNNNNNNNNNNNNNNNNNNNNNNNNNNNNNNNNNNNNNNNNNNNNNNNNNNNNNNNNNNNNNNNNNNNNNNNNNNNNNNNNNNNNNNNNNNNNNNNNNNNNNNNNNNNNNNNNNNNNNNNNNNNNNNNNNNNNNNNNNNNNNNNNNNNNNNNNNNNNNNNNNNNNNNNNNNNNNNNNNNNNNNNNNNNNNNNNNNNNNNNNNNNNNNNNNNNNNNNNNNNNNNNNNNNNNNNNNNNNNNNNNNNNNNNNNNNNNNNNNNNNNNNNNNNNNNNNNNNNNNNNNNNNNNNNNNNNNNNNNNNNNNNNNNNNNNNNNNNNNNNNNNNNNUUCGGUUUGGUUAUUCGGUUAUGUCAAUAAUUAAUAACAUAUAUAACCUAUAACCAAAGUAAUAAUAUUUAAUCCCUUAAAUAUUCUUUCUAAUAUAAAUCAUAAGUAAAACUUAAAACGCAAUACUUAUAAGUAUACCUAUUAUAGAUGUAAUUCAAACAUAAAAUAUAAACGUAAUCAUCAUGAAAGACAAUAACCAAAAAGGGACAAAAGUGGUUAACUCUAACUUAAUUCUAAACCUAAUUUUUUCGGUUUUUAUUUUUUAAAAUCCGAAACCAAACCAAAAACCCAAAUAAAGUAAUUUAUUAAUCCAAAACCAAUCCGAAAAUCCAAAAAACCAAUCUAAAUAAAAAUUCGGUUUGAAUUGAUUUAGUUAUUCGGUUUAAUCCGAAUAGUACACACCCCUAAUUUGCACAGUUAUUGUGGCAUUUAUCUUUUAUAUAUUUCGAAUUAGACAUGUAAGUCAAGUUAUCGACUAAAAAAAACAACAAAUUUGGGUCACUGUUUGUCACUCUUUGACCAAAUGUUGAAAGUUUACACGACUAAAAUAAUAUAAAUAUAUUAUUAUUUCAUAUAUUAAGGUUUAAGGAACACUAUUUUGUGUACACUAAGCAAACAUGUGUGCCAACUUGCCAACGAGUGAAAUCCAUUAUAAAUAUUUUUCUCACGUUACAACAGCAGAUAUCAACACCAAAAAUAUGUAAAAAAAAACACAAGAUCCAUAAGGGAAUAAUAUUUUUAAAAAUCUAAAUUGUAAGUGGGAAUGAAUAAUAAAUAUAAUAACAAUUCUCGUCAUUUUAGGGCAUAAUAAUUUUUAGAAUAGGAAUAUAUUAAAGGAAUCCACAUAACUAAAACACCAUAUAAUAUCCAUUAGGAUAGAGUGAGACCACCCUUGAACUUUCCACUUCUUUUGGUUUCCCACAUUAUUAAUCCAGUACCUAUUUUGAAGUCUGAUUAAUUCAGAUUCGCACGAAAAAGCUUUACUUUGGCAGUGAGCUUAUUUAAUCUACAUUCACACUAAAAAGCUUUACUUUGCUAGGUAAAUCUUUCUCUAUCUAAUCGAUUUCAUUUUCCAUUGCUCAAAACCCGAAAAAUCUGAUUAAAAAUAAAGAGUACCGACUACUCCAUUACCACCUUUGGUGGUAUGUAGUCUGUCAACUCAUCUUCUGGGAAUGGAUAACUCAUACUAUAAUAAAUUAAUAAUUCAUCACAUUCAUAUUGGACUCUCCUGCCCAACUUGCAAUUAUUUUUAUUUAUUUUAGAAAUUGCUCGUGACCAUUCCUUGGACCCUAUUCAAUGCGCGUUCUGUACACAAAUUUGUCAUUCUUGUUGUUACAUUAUCAUCUUUCCUUCUUUUCAAUUUAUUUUUCAUUCAUCAUUUUUGGUUUGUUUAUUAGAGUAAUGAUUCUCUUCAUUCAUGACUUUUAAGUACCUGCCCACUAACACACUAGCACGAAAAAAAAAGUGACUAUUGAAAGUAUUUGAAACGUGCACCCAUGGGUGUAGCCUAAUGGUCAGUAAAGUGGUUGAGAGCCCUUUAGGUCUCAGGUUCAAAUCUCAGCGGAGACAAAAAACACUAGGUAAUCUUUCCAUCUAUUCUAACCUUGGUGGGCAUGGUUACGUGGUACCUGUUGCUAGUGGGAGGUGGCAGGUAUCCCAUGGAACUAGUCGAGGUGCGUGAAAGCUGGCAUAGACAUCACCGUAAUAAAAAGAAGUAUUUGAAACCUAUACAAAACCAUUAGUUACAGCCUGUUGGCACUUUAUCAAGUACAUGGUUCAUCUAACAAUUUAAGUUGUAUCAAAGUGAAGUUACCCCUUUCCUCACAAUUCUAUCUAGCUUGCCCAACUCUGCUCUUGCUUCAGAAACCAAUUUCCCUUAUAAUAAAAAAAUAACAAACUGAACUUAACUUCUAGGAUACUUCAGUGAUCUGUCCAUGUGCUACUUCUAGAACAGCCGGAAAAAAAAAACAGUUGGCUCAAUGUAAUGUGAAUGCACAACUUGAGUUUACUAUCUAUUAGGUGGUCAGAAAGAUUUGACAUUUUUUAUGUACUCCUAGGUUUCGAGUAGGAGACGAAAUUCUUGUUGUCUUUUCUUGUGUGGGGGUACAUACAACUUGUUCUUUAACACGGAGCAUCCUAGAUUAGAGGCAUGCUUGGUAUUUUGUAACAAAUUCAUAGAAUGCAAGUCAUUUUCCUUGGUGUGAAUGGAUGACUAGUUGACUGCCACUGAAAGCAGUGAUUCACUGUACGAUUCACUAAGAAAUGUGUAUAAAGGCUUCAUUGUCAGCAUAAGUUUUUUCAGUGAGUGAAGCUUCUUUCUUUUGAAACAAUGAUGUCAAAGACAGUUGUAUAUGCAUUAGCCAUAUUUUCUAUUACCUUUCUCAUACCUCUGUCAUCUGGGCAACAUCCAAGCUUUGAAGUUGAAGUUGCUGCUUUGAAAGCUUUCAAGAGCUCAAUCUCUGACGACCCUUUCGGUGCACUUGUGGAUUGGACGGAUGCAAAUCACCAUUGCAACUGGUCUGGAAUCAUAUGUGAUCCUUCUUCAAGCCAUGUCAUCAACAUUUCGCUUAUUGAGACGCAGCUCAAAGGCGAAAUUUCUCCGUUUCUAGGAAACCUCUCCAAACUCCAGGUUCUUGAUCUAACUUUGAAUUCAUUUACUGGAAAUAUCCCACCCCAGCUGGGGUAUUGCACAGACCUGGUUGAGCUCGUUUUUUACCAAAACUCUCUUUUUGGUGAAAUUCCUGCCGAGCUGGGAAACCUAAAAAAACUGCAGUAUAUAGAUUUUGGAAAUAACUUUCUAAAUGGGAGUAUACCUGAUAGUAUAUGCAACUGCACUGAAUUGUCGUUAGUAGGCUUCAUCAACAACAAUCUCACAGGCAAAUUACCGUCUGAAAUUGGUAAGUUGGCCAAUCUUCAGUUGUUUGUAGCUUAUACAAACAAUUUGGUUGGUUCUAUUCCUACCUCCAUUGGAAUGCUUACAGCUUUGCAAACCCUUGAUCUGAGCGAAAACCAGUUAUCUGGACCUAUACCAUCAGCAAUUGGCAACUUGUCAAGUUUAGGAAUUCUUCAGUUACAUCUCAACUCUCUUUCUGGGAAAAUCCCAUCUGAACUUGGCCUCUGUAUCAAUCUUUUUACCUUGAACAUGUAUACUAAUCAAUUUACUGGAAGCAUACCUCCUGAGCUUGGAAAUUUAGAAAACUUGCAAGUGCUCAGAUUGCAUAACAAUAAGUUGAACUCCAGUAUACCUGCCUCAAUAUUCCACCUGAAGUCAUUAACUCAUUUAGGACUCUCACAGAAUGAACUAACUGGUAAUAUUCCUCCCGAGUUGGGAUCUUUAACGUCACUAGAAGUGCUUACCCUUCACUCAAAUAGGUUAUCGGGGGAGAUCCCAUCAACUAUAACAAACCUGGCAAACUUGACAUAUUUGUCUUUGGGCUUUAAUUUAUUGACUGGAUCACUUCCAUCGGAAUUUGGGUUACUCUAUAAUCUGAAAAAUCUAACUGCAAAUGAUAACCUCCUGGAAGGAUCUAUUCCAUCGAGCAUAACAAAUUGUUCUCAUCUUCUUGUUUUAACCCUCGCUUAUAAUAGAAUAGCGGGGAAAAUACCAAAUGGGUUGGGGCAAUUGUCCAAUCUUACAUUUUUGUCUUUGGGAUCAAACAAAAUGAUGGGGGAGAUUCCUGAUGAUCUCUUCAACUGUUCAAUGCUUGAAAUUCUAGAUCUGAGUGAUAACAAUUUCAGCGGGAAACUCAAAUCAAUGAUUGGCAGACUCUCUAAACUUCGAGUUUUAAGAGCUCGUACUAAUUCAUUUCUUGGGCCAAUCCCACCAGAGAUUGGUAAACUGAGUCAACUCGUGGAUUUAGUGCUUCACGAAAACAGUUUCUCAGGUGCGAUACCACCAGAAAUUUCAAUGCUUUCAAACCUUCAGGGUCUUUUGCUAUCUGACAACAAGCUGGAAGGUGAACUUCCUGUGCAGCUUUUUGAGCUCAAACAGCUCAAUGAACUCCGGCUGAAGAACAAUAAUUUCUUUGGUCCACUACCGCAACAUAUAUCCAAACUAGAAUCACUGUCGCUCAUGGAUCUGAGUGGAAAUAAGCUUAAUGGCACAAUCCCAGAGAGCAUGGCGAGCCUCCGCAGAUUGAUGACCGUAGAUCUUUCACACAACCUUCUUACCGGAACUAUUCCCAGAGCAGUACUUGCCAGCAUGAGAAGUAUGCAACUUUACUUGAACGUUUCCAGCAAUUUGUUGCACGGAGAGAUCCCAGAUGAGAUAGGCGUGUUAGAAAUGGUUCAAGAGAUUGACAUGUCAAAUAAUAAUCUGUCAGGCAGCAUUCCCAGAUCCCUAGAACGCUGCAAAAACUUAUUUUCACUGGACCUAUCAGGAAACAUGCUCUCUGGUCCUGCUCCAGGUGAAAUUUUCACCAAAUUAAGAGAGCUUGUGUUCUUGAACCUCUCAAGGAACAGAUUAGAAGGUAGUCUUCCUGAAAUAGCAGGAUUAUCACAUCUUCGCUCUCUUGAUGUUUCACAAAACAAGUUCAAUGGAAUCAUUCCCGAGAGAUUUGCCAAUAUGACUGCAUUGAAAUAUCUCAACCUUUCUUUCAACCAACUUGAAGGUCACAUUCCAAAGGGGGGUGUAUUCAACAAUAUAAGGUCGGAGGAUUUACUGGGAAAUCCAUCUCUAUGUGGAACAAAGUUUCUCAGUCCAUGCAACAUAAAAAGAAACCGAACAAGUUCUCAUGGUUUUUCCAAGAAAACCUGGAUCAUACUUGCAGCACUUGGAUCUGUUUUCAGUCUCAUUCUUCUUGUCCUGGGAAUAAUUUUAUUUCAUCGGUACAUGAAGAAGAAGAAAAAAGUGAAUGACGCGGAGGAUACAAAUCCAAAGUAUACCGCAGCAUUGAGCCUCCAGAGAUUUUAUCAAAAGGAUUUGGAACAUGCUACCAAUAAUUUCAGUCCGGAAAACAUUAUUGGAGCCAGCAGUUUAAGUACUGUGUACAAAGGUACACUGGAAGAUGGGAAGAUUGUAGCAGUUAAGAAGCUGAAUCACCAGUUCUCAGCAGAAUCUGGUAAAUGCUUUGAUAGGGAAGUCAAGACUCUGAGCCAACUCAGACACAGGAACCUAGUUAAGGUGCUAGGUUACGCUUGGGAAAGCAAGAAGCUAAGGGCUUUAGUUUUAGAAUACAUGGAGAAUGGGAACUUGGACAACAUGAUUUAUGGUCAAGUGGAGGAUGACUGGACGUUGUCCAAUAGGAUUGAUAUUUUAGUUUCAGUUGCAAGUGGACUGUCAUACCUGCAUUCAGGCUAUGAUUUUCCAAUAGUGCACUGCGACAUGAAGCCUUCAAAUAUUCUUCUGGAUAAAAAUAUGGAAGCACAUGUGAGUGACUUUGGGACAGCUAGGAUGUUGGGUAUUCAUCUCCAGGAUGGGAGCAGCAUAUCAUCAGCAUCCGCAUUUGAAGGAACUAUUGGUUACAUGGCGCCAGGUAAUAAUUCUUACAACUUCUUGACCCACACUUUACUAACUAGAUUAUGUGUUACAAUAGCAUGAAUACAAGAUGUCUACAAUGUAAACGAGCUUAUAUGGGUACCACAAAUAAUAUUUUGUCAAUGGUGAAUGUUUCAAAUACAUUCCAUUUUAGCAUCAUUCAGUAGUAACAUCACUUCUGUCAAUCACAAUAUGCAGCACAGCAGAUUUUUUUUUCCUUUCAAUCACAAAAUACUGAUUUAACUUUUAUGUGGAAGAAUAGACAAGCAAGUAAAUGAUGCAAUGUUUAGAACAUAUAAUCUGUAAAGUAUUAUUUUAAAUGAUAAUGUCAGUUUUAAUCUAUCCAAAAAUCUAGCGCCAGCUUUUACAUGCUCCUAAUUUAAUUUGAGACCUCACUUACAUGAAAUGUUAUCUAUGCAACAGAGUUUGCAUAUAUGAGGAAAGUGACCACAAAAGUAGAUGUAUUCAGCUUUGGUGUCAUUGUGAUGGAGAUCAUUACAAAAAGAAGGCCAACAAGUCUUACCGGAGCAGAUGAAUUACCAAUGACUUUGCAUCAAAUUGUUCAGAAUGCCCUUGCGAAUGGCAUAAACAAGCUAGUUCAGAUUGUGGAUCCUAAUCUAGCUUCAUAUGUCUCCAAGAAACAGGAUGUACUAGAGGGACUUCUUAACUUGGCUUUGUCCUGCACCUCUGCUGAUCCUGAAGAUAGACCUGACAUGGAACAAGUUCUGUCUUCUCUUUCAAAGCUAAGUAAGAUGGACUGCAUGCCUUCACAUUUGGUAAAAGAUUAAAUUUGAUGUAGAAGAAGCUGGAAUAUCAUCACUCUUAAAGUGAACCACCACCAAGUUUCUCAUGGGGCUAAUGGAACUAGUUCAUAACUUAAAAUGUAUUUACUAUUUAAAUAAAUUUUCCGUAUUUCAAGCCAUAAAUGAUCUCUCGAGUAUUCCUGCUUUACUAGAGAGAUAUAAUGGAACUGUCCCGUCAGAUUAUUUUGAAGUUGACAUGCAUCAUGAAAAUGAACAAAAUAUUCAACAAUACUUCACAUUAAUUACAACUAAGGAGCAAAAAGCUAGAUCUUUACGAAGUUCUCUAGUGACAUGUAAUAGAGUUAGUGAGCAAGCAGUUGAUUGCAAACCAAAGUGCUAAUGUAGUCUGUCACUAAAGAUUAUCUACAGCAAAUGAGUACACUUACGAACACACAUAUAUAGAAGUGAAACUGAGGAAAACUCAAUAAGGGCUUUAAUAAGCCUACAAUCAUCCAUCAUAUUUUACCUUGAAAUAUGCAUUCUAGAAAUUUAUUUACUAGAGAGGGAACACGCAACCUCAUCUAUUGGUGGAUCAUUAUGCAAGAACUCGUCAAUGGUAGAGGGAAACUCAAAGCUUCCAACACCAUCAAAAACCUCUGAAUGAAUAAGAGAAGCUUUGCCUAAAAGCAGAUGAGCUAACCUAAAUGAUUCUCUUCUCUCUCCAUUACUCCUAUCCAGAAAAUGCUCAAUCCAACCUUCUAACCUCUCCACUUCUUUUUCACUUUUUGGCCCUUUAACCCCAACAAUGUUUCCAUAAAAUGCAUCAUCACAGCCCAAAUCCACUUCCACACUUUUGGUUCCUCCCCUUUUACUGUCCGAUAUACCCAAUAGCUGCAUCAACAGUUCAAUGUCAUCAACCCCAUCACCACCAGUUUCAACUGUACCAACUCUUUCUUGAACUUGUGUAGGGUUUAUCUGAGGUGGGGUUUCUUGGGCAAGUGGGGAAUUAGAGAGAAAUUGAAGUGGGGUUUCACUUUCUUUGAGGUUUGUGUAGCUGGUGAUGGAGUCAACAGGGGUCUCACUCUCAUCACAGUUAAGGUAUAAUGGGCUGAUCAUAGACUGGGUCGGUGUGUCGACGGCUUCUUGUUGUGUUGGUUCAUCAAGUUUCAAUCUUUUCUCCAAUUGUUUGAGAGAAGAGAAGAAAUUUGAGUGUGGAGAAGGUCUUUGCAUGUUUGGGAGGAAAUCAGAAUGAAUGAUUUGGGGGUUUAGGGUUUUAGCUGUGAGUAAAGAAGGGAUUAAGAAAAAAGAGCGCCAAUUGGUGAGAAAAAACAGUUGAAUAAACGGCUGAAUAGCUACAAUAUUGCUCUACGUCUCCGUGAGUUGUGGUGAAAUAGUUGAAUUCGAGCCCCCAAUGAAAUAAAUCUGUUUGCAAGCAUUGCCCCUGCUGUAUUAGCAGGCUCUAAUAUUAGAGUUGAUAAUUUCCUUAUUAUUUAUUUUAUAACUAGUAAAAUUAUUCGCGUUUUGUGCGGGAAUUUAAUAUCACAAAAUUUAUAAAAUAAUAUUUAAAACAUAUCAGUCAUUAAAAAAAAAUCACUAUAUUAUCUUAUAUACAAGAUUACGUAGUAACGAACAUUAAUAAUGUAAGGGAAAAUGAUAAUUAUAACAUUUUAUCAUUUAUCCUUCAAUCAAUCAUCCUUUUGCCUCCGGGAAGUGUUACUAUUUGAUAUUUUUGGAAAAUUAAAUGAACAUCAAUAUGAGAUAUUAAAUUUUAAUUGUGCAGAAGAAGAAGAAAUUCAAAAUUUCCGUUGUUUUAAAAUGAGAAAAAAUCCCUCUAUUCAUAGACAACAAAUGGUAGUGUGAACAAAUACUUAUUGUGCCUUAUCGAAAAUGUCACAACUCUUUGGAAAAGUUACAACCCUUCGGAAAGAUCACAACCUUUCAUAAAAAUAACAUUUUUUCAUAAAAGUCGCAACUCUUUAUAAAAGUCACAAUUUUUCACAGAAGACACAUUUUUUCAUGAAAGUGGAGGGCUAUUUUGAAAAUAAAUAAAUUUAAAAGGAAAUUCUAACUUGUGGUGGCGCCACGUAGGCGGACCUAUGGUUAUAUAUAUCGAAGGAAUUAGUUUUCUCAAAUUUAUUUUUGGAGGACAAUAAAGGAUUGAAUAACAUAUGUUGUGAUUUGUGAACAUGGAUAGUCCAAAUAGUGCUUAUGGUUAUGGACAAGUAGUCCAGCCAAACUGUUGGGCCUGUGGUACGAAACUAAAGGGACAAUUAAUCAAAAUGGCCAAUUGGUGAUAAUUCUCUCUUCUAGCAUCUUCAAAGCUCAAAUUUUAAAAUUAAUAUGCCGCAAACGUGGAUCACUUUGAAUAAAUAGUAUACCAAAAGACUCAAAACAUUGAGAUAAAUUCAUAUCUAAAAUUUGAGAUUGUUUAGAGGAAAUUUGAAAUGGUUGAGAUUGAGAAAAUAAUUGGUCUACAAUAUAUACUUCAUUGUCUCAACAAUGUAUAUAGAUGUAUAUAUCUCUCUCUAAUAUAUAGUUAUACAUCAUUCAUACAUGAGUAUACACUAUUUAUACAAUAUCGAUACAUUACAUAUACAUUUGUUGAUUUUUUGUUGUUGUCCGUACAUAUAUUGCUAAUUUUGGGUUAUUUUAUUAAUGUAAAUGAAAACUUGGCUACAUUUGAAACUACUUUUUAUUUUACCCAAAACUAAAAAUCUGAAAAAGAAAUUUUUUCGCAGGAACGGUUGGUUUAUUAGGUCUGCUCACACCUAUAUUGAUUCAUCACUCAAUUUGAUCUAAGUGAUCUUUGGACGAAAUGUAUCAUAAUUCUUUUAUUGAAUCAUUAUUUUUUAACCUUCUAAACUCGCCCUGUUCAUUUGAAGCUCCUUAUAAUUUUCUUCCAAUUUUAAAUUGCAUGAAGUUGUUUAUCUCGCUAUGCUUAUUUAAUUUCUUGGUAAAUAACAAAAUUAUCCUUAUGUUAUUGCGUUAUUCCAAGUUUUAGCCCUUAUGUUAUUCAUUUGAGCACAAUAAACCUUUGAUUAACAAAAACAUGUGAUAUUGGUUUUUUAAAUUAAUAGAAGUUAAAAAUUUAAAAGAAUUAAUAUUUGAAAAGUUUGAAAGAUCAAUAUCACAUAUUUUAAUUAAUUAAAAACUAAAUAUGCUCAGUGGUAUAACGCAAAGGACUAAAGUGGAUAUUCACCUUUAUUUUCUUGAUCAACUCAAGCUAAUGAUAUCUAUUAUCUAGUAGCAAUAUUGACUGAGAUUUGGCGACUUACAACAUGAGACUAUAAUUGGCGUGUUGACUACAAAACAAGUUAAUUAUGAUUAGUCAAGUUUAAUUAUUUUCAAAUAGAACCCACUUAUUUGCAUACUUUUUGCCACAUUCAUCUCUUAGAGGUCAGAUAAAAAUUGUGUGUACAUAAUCUAUUCAAACAUGUUGACAACUAAAAAAAUGAUAAAUUUGGGUGGCUGUUUGUCUCUCUUUGACCUAAUGUUCAAAGUAUACACGAGUGAAUGACAAAUGAUAAAAUAGAUUUAAACAUAUUACUUUAUUAGUUCAUAUAGAAGGUUUAGGUACACUGUUAAAUCAACGAUGAUUUCAUUUUGAACAAUAGUUUCAGGAAUAAGACUUUAUAUUAUUCAAUCUAUUAGGAACACAGGCGGAUCUAAGAAUUCUAUUAAAAAAAGAGAGGAAAAAAUACAUAUAUUAAGUGAUAAUUGAUCCUUGGGCGAUUAACUCAACAUUCAAUCAAGUGUACCAUUUAGCCUUAUUGGAGCAUGAGUGUGAUUAGAUAGUAUUAGAUCAAUUCUAGAAUAUAUGUACAUAAAACGACUAGUUUGAUGAAAAGAUCAUAGGUUCACGUGCACCAUAAAUAGGCUAUAAAUUCACCUCUGAUUGGGAAAUGACCACCGCUGAAUGUCAUCUUUCAGCUUGUCUAACUCUGCUGUUUCUCUAGAAAAGAAACAACUGAAAUGAACUUAUACAAUAUUUCUGCUCCAUAUGGCAGUUCUAGAAAAAAUAAUAGUAAUAAUAAAAACAGUUGACAUGAUGUAAUGUGAAUGCACUCAAUUUUCAAACAAUAUGAUCAGUUUUUGUAGGAAUUUCUGACAAAUUCAUAGAAUACAAGUCAUUGUACUUAGUUUUGAUGACUAGUUGACUUCUUCAACAGAAAACAGUAAGCAAAUAUCAUUAAUAAUUGUAUAAACUAUUCAUUUUCAGCUUAAGUUUGUAAAGAGAGUGAAGCUUCUUUCUUUUGAACCAAUGAUGUCAAAGACCACUGUAUAUGCAUUAGCCAUUUUUUUUAGUUCCUUUUUCAUAGCUUUGUCCUUUGGGGAAACUCCAAGCUUGGAAGUUGAAGUUGCUGCUUUGAAAGCUUUCAAGAACUCAAUCACUGAUGACCCUUUUGGUGCACUUGUGGAUUGGACUGAUGCAAAUCACAUUUGCAACUGGUCUGGAAUCAUAUGUGAUCCUUCUUCAAACCAUGUCAUCAACAUUUCGCUUAUUGGGAUGCAGCUCAAAGGCGAGAUUUCUCCGUUUCUAGGAGACCUCUCCAAACUCCAGGUUCUUGAUCUAACUUUGAAUUCAUUUACUGGAAAUAUCCCAGCCAAGCUGGGGCAUUGCACUGAGCUGGUUCAGCUCAUUCUUUACCGAAACUUUCUUUCUGGUGAAAUUCCUACCGAGCUAGGAAACCUCAAAAACCUGCAAUUAUUAAAUUUUGGAAAUAACUCUUUGAGUGGGAGAAUACCUGAGAGUAUAUGCAACUGCACUGAAUUGUUGUUAGUAAGCCUCAUCAACAACAGCCUCACAGGCAAAUUACCAUCUGAAAUUGGUAAUUUGGUCAAUCUUCAAUUGUUUGAAGCUUAUAGAAACAAUUUGGUUGGUUCUAUUCCUACCUCCAUUGGAAUGCUGACAGCUCUGCAAACCCUUGAUCUGAGCUCAAACCAGUUUUCUGGACCUAUACCACCAGAAAUUGGCAACUUGUCAAGUUUAGAAACUCUUCAGUUGCAUCACAACUUUCUUUCUGGGAAAAUCCCAUCUGAACUUGGCCUCUGUAUCAAUCUUGUUACCUUGGACAUGUAUAAUAACCAAUUCACUGGAGGCGUACCUCCUGAGCUAGGAAAUUUAGAAAAUUUGCACAGGCUCAGAUUGUAUAACAAUAAGUUGAACUCCAGUAUACCUGCCUCAUUGUUCCACCUGAAGUCAUUAACUCAUUUAGGACUCUCACAUAAUGAGCAAACUGGUAAAAUUCCUCCUGAGUUUGGAUCUUUAAUGUCACUACAAGUGCUUACCCUCCACUCAAAUAGGUUGUAUGGGGAGAUUCCAUCAACUUUGACAAACCUGGCAAACUUGACAUAUUUGUCUUUGAGCUUUAAUUUAUUGACAGGAUCACUUCCACCGGAACUUGGGUUACUCUAUAAUCUGAAGAAUCUAACUGCAAGUAAUAACCUCCUAGAGGGACCUAUUCCAUCUAGCAUAACAAAUUGUUCUCAUCUUCGUGUUUUAACCCUCACCUUUAAUAGAAUAACAGGUAAAAUACCAAAUGGGUUGGGGAAGUUGUCCAAUCUUACAUUUUUGUCUUUGGGAUCAAACAAAAUGUUGGGGGAGAUUCCUGAUGAUAUCUUCAACUGUUCAAUGCUUGAAGUUCUAGAUCUGAGUGGUAAUAAUUUUAGCGGGAAGCUCAAACCGAUGAUUGGCAGACUCUCUAAACUUCGAGUUCUAAGAGCUCAUAGUAAUUCAUUUCUUGGGCCAAUCCCACCAGAGAUUGGUAAACUGAGUCAACUGAUAGAUUUAGUGCUUCACAAAAACAGUUUCUCAGGUGUGAUACCACCAGAACUUUCAAAGCUUUCAAACCUCCAGGGCCUUUCUCUGUCAGACAAUAAGCUGGAAGGUGAACUUCCUGUGCAACUUUUUGAGCUUACACGCCUCUAUGAACUCCUGCUGCAGAACAAUAAUUUCUUCGGUCCAAUCCCCAAUCAGAUAUCCAAAUUAGAAUCACUUUCACUCCUGGACCUGAGUGGAAAUAAGCUUAACGGUACAAUCCCAGAGAGCAUGGUGAGCCUCCGCAGACUGACGACCUUAGAUGUUUCACACAACCUUCUAACCGGAACUCUUUCCAGAGCAGUACUUGCCAGCAUGAGAAGUAUGCAAUUUUACUUGAACGUUUCCAGCAACUUGUUGGAUGGAGAGAUCCCAUAUGAGAUUGGCAUGUUAGAAAUGGUUCAAGGGAUUGAUAUGUCAAACAACAAUCUAUCAGGCAACAUUCCCAGAUCCCUAGGACUCUGCAAAAACUUAUUCUCACUAGACCUAUCAGGAAACAUGCUGUCUGGUCCUGCUCCAGGCGAAACUCUGACCAAAUUAAGUGAGCUACUAUUCUUGAACCUCUCAAGGAACAGAUUAGAAGGCAAACUUCCUGACAUGGAAGGAUUGCCACAUCUUCGCUCACUUGAUCUUUCACAAAACAAGUUCAAGGGAAUCAUUCCUGAGAGAUUUGCCAAUAUGCCUGCAUUAAUAUAUCUCAACCUUUCUUUUAACCAGCUUGAAGGUCACAUUCCAAAGGGGGGUGUAUUCGACAACUUAAGGUCAGCAGAUUUACAGGGAAAUCCAUCUCUAUGUGGAACAGAGUUUCUCAGUCCAUGCAGCAUCAAAAGAAACCAAACAAGUUCUCAUGGGUUUUCCAAGAAAACCUGGAUCAUACUUGGGCCUGUUUUGGUUCUCAUUCUUUAUGUGGUGGGAAUAUUUUUGUAUCAUCUGUAUAUGAAGAAGCAAAAAGUGAAAGACACGGAAGAUAUAAUUCCAAAUUAUACCUCAGCACUUAGCCUCCAGAGAUUUUAUCAAAAGGAUUUGGAACAUGCUACUGAUAAUUUCAGUCCACAAAACAUUAUUGGAGCCAGCAGUUUAAGUAAUGUGUACAAAGGAACACUGGAAAGUGGGAAGAUUGUAGCAGUUAAGAAACUGAAUCUCCAGUUCUCAGCAGAAAUUCGUAAAUGCUUUGAUAGGGAGGUCAAGACUCUGAGCCAACUCAAACACAGGAACCUGGUUAAGGUGCUCGGUUAUGCUUGGGAAAGCAAGAAGCUAAUGGCUGUAAUUUUAGAAUACAUGGAGAAUGGGAACUUGGACAGUUUUAUUUAUGGUCAAAUGGCGGAUGAAUGGACAUUGUCCAAUAGGAUAGACAUUUUAGUUUCAGUAGCAAGUGGGCUGUCAUACCUGCAUUCAGGAUAUGAUUUUCCAAUAGUGCACUGUGACUUGAAGCCUUCAAAUAUUCUUCUGGAUAAAAAUAUGGAAGCACAUGUGAGUGACUUUGGGACAGCUAGGAUGUUGGGUAUUCAUCACCAAGAUGGGAGCAGCAUAUCAUCAGCAUCUGCAUUUGAAGGAACUAUUGGUUACAUGGCACCAGGUAAUAAUUAUUACAACAUCACUUCUGUAAAUCACAAUACACAGCUUAGCAGAUUUUCUUUUCCCGUCAAUCACAAAAUAAUGAUUAAUUUGUAUGUGGAAGAAUGGACAAGCAUUUAAGUGAUCCAAUGUUUUGAACAUAUAAUCUGAAAAGUAUUUUUUAAUGAUAAUACCAACUUUAGUCUAACCAGAAAAUGCUAGUGUCAGCUUUAGAAUUUUGAAUUUCUUGAACAUUUUACAUGCUCCUUAUUUAAUUUGAGACCUAACUCAAAUGAAAUGUUUUUCUAUGAAACAGAGUUUGCAUAUAUGAGGAAAGUGACCACAAAAGUAGAUGUAUUCAGCUUUGGUGUAAUUGUGAUGGAGAUCAUUACAAAAAGAAGGCCAACAAGUCUAACAGGUGCAGAUAAAUUACCAAUGACUUUGAAUCAAGUUGUUCAGAAUGCCCUUGCGAAUGGCAUAAGCAAGCUGGUCCAGAUUGUGGAUCCUAAUUUAGCUUCACAUGUCUCCAAGAACCAGGAGAUAGUAGAGGGACUUCUUAACUUGGCUUUAUCCUGCACCUCUCCGGAUCCUGAAGAUAGACCUGACAUGGAACAAGUUCUGUCUUCUCUUUCAAAGCUAAGUAAGAUGGAGAGCAUGCAUUCACACGCUUGUUUGGUAUCAUCAUUCUUAAUAUGAACCACCACCAAGUUUCCCUCGGUGGCCAAUGGAACUAGUCCACAACUGAAAAUGUAAUUACAAUUUAAAUAGAACUUACGUUUUUCAAGCCAUAAUUAUCUUUCAGGUAUUCCUGCUUUACUAGAGGGGUAUGGUUGAACUCUCACAUUAGAUUAAGUUAAAGUUGACUUGCAUCAUGAAAUUGAAGAACUCUGUACAUUAAUUACAACUAAGGAACAAAAAGCUAGAUCUUUACGAAGUACUCCAGUGACGUGUAAUAGUCAGCGAGCAGUUGAUUGCUAGACUAAAGUGCCAAUGCAUUCUGUUACUAGAGAUUGCCUACAGGAAAUGAGUACACUUUUGAACACGAAUAUAUAGAAGUGAAAUUGAGGAGAACUCAAAAAGAGGCCUUAAUAAGACUACAAUGAUACAUCAUAUUUUACCUUAAAAUAUGCAUUUUAGAAAUUUAUUUACUAUGCAAGAACUCAUCAAUGUAAGAGGGAAACUCAAAGCUUCCAAAACCAUCAAAAAUCUCCUAAGGAAUAAGAGCAGCUUUGCCUAAAGGCAGAUGAGCUAACCUAAAUGAUUCUCUUCGCUCUCCAGUACCCUUAUCCAGAAAAUGCUCAAUCCAACCUUCUAAUCUCUCCACUUCUUCUUCACUUUUUGCCCCCUUAACCCCAACAAUCUUUCCAUAAAAUGCAUCAUCACAGCCCAAAUCCACUUCCACCCUUUUGGAUCCUUCCCUUUUACCCUCCGAUAAACACAAUAGCUGCAUCAUCAGUUUACCCUCAUCAACCCCAUUACCACUAGCUUCAACUAUACCAACACUUUCUUGGGCAAGUGAGGAAUUAGAGAGAAAUUGAAGUGGGGUUUCACUUUCUUUAAGGUUUGUGUAUCUGGUGAUGGAGUCAGCAGGGGUCUCAUCACAGUUGAGGUAUAAUGGGCUGAUCAAAGACUGGUCGGUGUCUCAACGGCUUCUCGUUGAGAUGGGUCGUCAAGUUUCAAUCUUUUCUCCAAUUGUUUGAGAGAUGAGAAGAAAUUGGAAUGUGGAGAAGGUCUUUGCAUUAUUUUUUUAGUGAAUCAGAACUUGAAUUGAGUUUUUAGUUAUGGAAGGUUGAAGAAUGGAAAGGAAAAAAGAGCGCCAACUGCUGCAAAGGACAAUUUAAUCACUUUUGUUUGAAAUUUUACGCCGAUUUGGGAUUUCUGGGUAUGUUAUUUAAGGUAUUUUCUGAAUUAAUCCAUAUUCUCAAUGUUUAAAGAGCUUUGAUAUCCAGGGUCAGAUCCAGAGGUUCUGGUACGGGUUUACGAGAACCAAAUAACUUUUGCUUAUAUUCUGUAUGUGUUAAAAAUCUGAUUGUGAAUAGAAUUAUCAUUGAUUUAAAAGGUUCUAGGAUGACCUUUCAAUACAAGUGACUUUCCUUGUGCAUGUUUAUAGCUUGGAUCAUAUAGUUGCUAAUAAGAGUAUCCGAAAAAUGGAACAGGGAGAGAACAUAGCUACUGAAGUUUUGUGGAAAGUGUAUUCAUUUGUUUGCGUGAAACCAUGCAGUACAAAUGCUGAUAAGAGUAAAAAUAUAUUCAGAAAGGAGAAAAAGGAAUGUGUAAUAUAGCCACAUAGGUAUAACAUUGAGGAUAUAGACAAAUGAUUUCUCACAUGAUCACUCAACUAAUAUGUUAGCCAUUAUCUCAUAAAGUCACCUUAUUCUUGAUUCUAAUUUGUUUUUAACAAGAGUGACUUCUGAGAUAAUAACUAUCAGUUGAGUGACACUUUGAAGGAAACCAAAUUGCAGUAGAAUUAUCUGUUGUUCAACUGGUGGAUCACAAUUUGAUAGCAUUAGCAUUUCCUGCUCAUUUGGCAAAUUAAAGUCCAAUACCAAUAACCACGACUCUGUUUCAUUUAGAUACAUUAUGCUUUGAAAAAUCUAGUCCGAAUUUAGAUUUUUCCCAAUCAGGAGUUGGCAUGUAUGGUGGUGGAUUUUUGAAACAUUUACUUGGCCAGAAUAUGUUGUAUAAAGCACUGUUAUGUUCACAUGUGUCUGUUUGCCUAGGCGUAGGACCACUUGUAUGAGUGGUUGAGAAUAUGCCUGCUACUAGAAAAAUAGAAAUUAGUAAUGGACAAAUUUCGUAGUUAAACGACAAGUGAGCAAUUUAACGAUGAAGUUCAUAACCAGUAGAAGUUUUUUUUUUUAUAGAACGAUGAAAAUGAACUAACAUAACGGUUCAUUUUUCCCCUUAUUCCUUUCUAUUUUACACAGAGAAGGGAUUCGGGCUGUAAUUACUUCAAAAUGCCUGUAAUAGUGGUGUUGUCUUUUACCCUGCUGGAAGAAAAAUAUAUAAAGAAUGUCCUAAUGGAAAAAAGUAGAAGAUACUUUAAUGUAAGCUCAACAACAAAGACAGAGAGAAAUCUUUGUAGCCACAGAACAUUGGUUGGUCCCCCAAGUAAAAAUCUUGGAAGAUUUUUGGAUUUGUGAUUGCCAAGUGUGAAUGGAGAGUAAUCUUGACAUCCAAUGAGAUCAUAGAUAUAGAUAUCACUAGAUAAGGACUCUUCCCUAUCUUACUUACUAUAUAUAGUGAAGUUUCAAUAACUUCAGCUCAUCACAACUAACUUUUACAUAUCAAACUAGCAACCCCCUCACUUUCCUCUCUUUAUAAACCAUGGCAGCUGCUACAAUGGCUCUUUCUUCCCCUUCUUUUGCUGGACAGGCAGUGAAACUCUCACCCUCUGCCUCAGAAAUCACUGGAAAUGGAAGGAUCACUAUGAGAAAGGCUGUCGCCAAGUCUGCCCCAUCUAGCAGCCCAUGGUAUGGCCCUGACCGUGUUAAGUACUUGGGCCCAUUCUCUGGUGAGUCCCCAAGCUACUUGACCGGUGAAUUCCCUGGUGACUACGGACCGUGUUAAGUACUUGGGCCCAUUCUCUGGUGAGUCCCCAAGCUACUUGACUGGCGAAUUCCCUGGUGACUAUGGAUGGGAUACCGCUGGACUUUCAGCAGACCCUGAGACCUUUGCCAAGAACCGUGAACUUGAGGUGAUCCACUGCAGAUGGGCUAUGCUUGGUGCUCUUGGAUGUGUCUUCCCUGAGCUAUUGGCCCGUAAUGGUGUCAAGUUCGGUGAGGCUGUGUGGUUCAAGGCCGGAUCCCAGAUCUUCAGCGAGGGUGGACUUGACUACUUGGGCAACCCAAGCUUGGUCCAUGCACAGAGCAUCUUGGCCAUCUGGGCUUGCCAAGUUGUCUUGAUGGGAGCCGUUGAAGGUUACCGUAUUGCUGGUGGACCUCUUGGUGAGGUUGUCGACCCACUCUACCCUGGUGGCAGCUUUGACCCAUUAGGCCUUGCUGAAGACCCAGAGGCAUUUGCUGAGCUCAAAGUAAAGGAGAUUAAGAACGGCAGACUUGCUAUGUUCUCUAUGUUUGGAUUCUUCGUUCAGGCCAUUGUUACCGGAAAGGGUCCAUUGGAGAACCUUGCUGACCACCUUGCAGACCCCGUUAACAACAACGCUUGGGCUUUCGCCACAAACUUUGUCCCCGGAAAAUGAAUAUCAUAAUAUAAUUUUUUAAUUUUGAUUGUUCGAUGGCCCUGUAAAGUAGUUGUGACUUACUUGAUAAUAGAAUGGUUCUUUUUUCCAUAUUCCAGUGAUUGUGUAGUUCUGAGUUACAUUUUCCAAAUCUACGAAUCAAAUAUUGCCACUUCCAUACCAAAGGGGAAAUUAAAGAAAGAGAACAGAGCAAAAAGACUGAAGAUACAUAUGAGAUGUGGUAACAAGAAAAACUAUAAAGCUGUUGUAAGCUUAAAACUUGAAUUUUCAGACCAGAGGAACUUAUGGAAUUCAGUUAAUUCUCGAGAAACAAUACUCAAAAUUAGUGUAAAGUACUAAUGUUGAACAACAUGAUGUUAUUACAUGAUUCCUCAUUUAUCUAUCGAAAAGUGAGAGGAAAUAAGAGGACAUUGUUUCAUUUCACUACCAGAACAUUGAGACAGGGGAAGAAAACCAAUAUGUUUUGUAGUCUGAAUGUAGUAAGUAAUAUAUGAGUUUCCAGGUCCAUACAGUAUGUCUCCUUUGAACAAAUUCAUAAAUUUCUUGUAAAAUCCUCCUGCCUCACAUGAGGUACUAUCUUUAGAUUAAAAGCAUCCUUGACAGAUCCUUCAAAACAAGGUACAUAGUAAUGACCAGAGCACAAAGGACAUACAUAUGUAGUUAGAAGAAGACACAAGUACUGCUAAAUAUGACACUUAUUGGCAACAAAUUCAAGUUCCAUGCACUAAUAACGUAAACAAUAUUUACACAAAUUACUUAGUAAGUAAUUAAAGGUAAAUCACUUGAUAACAUUAAUCGGUAGUCUGGUAAAAAAUGGGAAUUGCCUACUAUCACACGUUAAAAUUUACUGAUGUAACUUCUAUUUCCCUUAACGCAGCGCAAAAUUGUGAUGCUGAUGAAUUCCAACAAAUUAAAAUCUUUGCUCAUAUUCUUCUGAACAAGCUCUUUCCAAGGCUCAGCAUUGCUCAUGUAGUAGUUAAGUAACACGUACUAAGCCGCAUUAAAUCUCUAAACCUAACAGUAUUGUGAAUGAGCAUAAAACAAUAUAACCUGUGUGGCUAACAUAAACAACUUUGGUAAUUAAGGUCUAAUAUAAUAAAGUUUCAAUCACAUUGCUUUCCAAACAUAAAGAUGCAUUAUUAAGUUCCCAAAAUUUAUGAAUCAAGUAGUAAUAAAUUUCAACUUUUCCUCAAAUUUCCUAAACCAUAGUUCUACAUUGAAUGAAGUAUAGUGGUGGUAUGUUUUACCCUGCAGGUAGAUAAAAUCUAGAGAAAUGCCAAGUGGAUAAUGAUAGGGAUAUCAUAUUGUAAGCUCAACAAAUCACAGGGCAGAUUCCAAUCCUUGUGGCAACAUAUGAGAGGACAAUAUUGGUUGUGUCCCUUGCUGGAAAAUUGAUGGAUUGGAGAUUGCUAAAUGUGCAUAAUUGCUACAAGUAGGAUCUUGAUAGCCAAUGAGAUCAUAGAUAUAGAUUUCACUAGAUAAGGACUCUUUCCCUCUUUCUUAAUUCCUAUAUAUGGUGAAUUAAUUCCCUUGUAACUUCAUCUCAUCACAGCCUUCAACAAUAUUUCAUACCAUCAAACACUCAACACUUUUCUCUUAAUCUAAAUCAUGGCAGCUGCUACAAUGGCUCUUUCUUCCCCUUCUUUUGCUGGACAGGCAGUGAAACUUUCACCAUCUGCCUCAGAAAUUUCUGGAAAUGGAAGGAUCACUAUGAGAAAGGCUGUCGCCAAGUCUGCCCCAUCUAGCAGCCCAUGGUAUGGCCCUGACCGUGUUAAGUACUUGGGCCCAUUCUCUGGUGAGUCCCCAAGCUACUUGACUGGCGAAUUCCCUGGUGACUAUGGAUGGGAUACCGCUGGACUUUCAGCAGACCCUGAGACCUUUGCCAAGAACCGUGAACUUGAGGUGAUCCACUGCAGAUGGGCAAUGCUUGGUGCUCUUGGAUGUGUCUUCCCUGAGCUCUUGGCCCGUAACGGUGUCAAGUUCGGCGAGGCUGUGUGGUUCAAGGCCGGAUCCCAGAUCUUCAGCGAGGGUGGACUUGACUACUUGGGCAACCCAAGCUUGGUCCAUGCACAAAGCAUCUUGGCCAUUUGGGCUUGCCAAGUUGUGUUAAUGGGAGCUGUUGAGGGAUACCGUAUUGCAGGUGGACCUCUUGGUGAGGUCGUCGACCCACUCUACCCUGGCGGCAGUUUUGACCCAUUAGGUCUUGCUGAUGAUCCAGAGGCAUUUGCUGAGCUCAAAGUAAAGGAGAUUAAGAACGGCAGACUUGCUAUGUUCUCUAUGUUUGGAUUCUUCGUUCAGGCCAUUGUUACCGGAAAGGGUCCAUUGGAGAACCUUGCUGACCACCUUGCAGACCCCGUUAACAACAAUGCAUGGGCCUUUGCCACAAACUUUGUUCCCGGAAAAUGAAUAUCAUAAAACGUUCUCUAGAUAUUAUUGUUUGAUGGCUUUGUAAAGUUUUAGUUGUGAGUUUACUUGACAAUAGAAUGGAUUUUUCUUAGUCCUGAAUUUCAUUUUCCAAUGAUGAAUGAAAUACUGCAAAAUUCAUAUUGAAGGGGAAAAUUGAUGACAAAGCAAAAAUAACAAGACCAAAGUUACAUUUGAGAUGUGGUAAAAGCUUAAACCUGAAUAUACAGACCAGAGAC